rnacentral:lncRNA from 1 species
AGUUUUUUUUGUGGAGCAAUUUCAAUAAACAAAAAUAGUGUAGCUUCACUUGAGACUUGCCUGGAAAAAUCCCCAUUCUUUGCAAGCAAAGUCGAGCUUGUCAGUCUCAGAAUCCAUGCAGGUUGGAGAACACAAAAGACACAUGUCUAUGAUUGGGAUCUGGUUUCUUAGACCAGAAUCCACGGCUAUCUCAGCUUUGUCUUGAUCAGACCGUACAUACCUCGGAGGAACCGCCGUGAUCAUAUUCUCCUUCACCAUCUCUUGAACAGAAGGAACUAUAAUAGAGCUUUGGGUUGCUCUUUGACCUUCCAUGGCCGCUUCUUCUUGAAAGAUAAUCUCAAAUCUAAAUGAACACUAUAUGUUUUAUAGAGCAUUGGAUGACAAAGUCAACUCAAUUAAGAAACAAUGUCACAUGAAUGAUUACAAUGAGUGAGAAAAAAAUAUUCUAAAAUUUUAGUAAAAAUUACUCUGAUUUCCAUAGAAAAAUAAAUAGCCAGUCAAACCCAAAAAAAAUAAAAGAUUCAUGUCUUUGGCCAAUUCAUCUGUCAGUCUAACAAUGAGUAAAAACUUUUAACUGUGAUUUUUCCUCUAACAUUUACUUUUCUUUUCUUCUCAUUUUUUCCCUUUGAGUUCCUCUCUUUUACUAGUUAGACCUAAGAAAUUUGGAAUCAUAAUCUGUAGAAAUUUUUGUACAAAGAAAAAUAAGAACUGUCAAAAGAAAAGCAAAAUAAGGUACAGAAAUCAAUUGCUAGUCCAAAAAGGUUUUGGCGUUUUGCUUAAAAGAGUGGAGCAAUUAGUGAAAUACGACGCCGUUUAGCAGUUUGUUGUUUCUCUGUGGACCACACAUUUGAACGAGUCUUCGUCACUCGUCAGUCUCCACCACAAUUCCUCUCUCUUUCACCGCUUCGAGUUCAUGGAAUCUACUCAUUCAUUGAUUCUGUUCUUCCACCGUCGUCAUGGCGUUGCUCGCUCUUCCACAUUUCAUCCCUCACCGUCUCCGGAGGAACCAAUGCAGAUGUUGUUUGUCUUCGGCAACGAAUGAAGGUUCCACGGCGGUUGUGUGGUUUAAACAUGACCUUCGUGUUGAUGAUCAUCCUGGCCUCCUCGCUUCGUCCAAGCACAGUUCCGUCAUACCUCUCUACGUCCUCGAUCGUCGCAUUCUCUCGAGUAAGUUCAUUCGGACAUUCCAAAUAUUAAAUCGAUUACCGGAACAAAUUCGAAAUUAUCUUGCUCUUGGCCUAAGCUCAAUACGGACUUCUUAAGAAUUCUCCAGAUGUUUUAGUUGAUGAACCUCUGGUUAGUUUUAUAGCGUGUAGGAGGAGAGUGGAAUGGUUUUGCAUAGAUCAAGUAGCUAGAAUCCCAUAGGCACAACCCUCCAUUUCCAAGAGUAACUUGAUUGGGUAUCUAAUCCAACAGCUUAUCUGUAUCUAGGAUACACAACGGACACUUUAGAGCUAGCUAUUAUAGCCUUAGAAGACUUGAGAAAAACCUUGAAGAAGCAAGGAUCAAAUCUGAUGCUCAGUUACGGGAAUGCAGAAAAUGUCAUUGCAGAUCUUGUCAAAGAGGUAACUUCACGGGUAUAUUUGAGUACAAUUUUCAGGCGAGAAUAACCAUUUGUCACAAGAACGUGCUGGAUUUCUACAGGUACGAGCUCAUUCUGUCUUUGUGGAAGAAGAGGUAGAAUACCAUCUGUGUGAUGUUUUGGACGGUGUUAAGAAAAAAUUGGAAGGCUUUUCUUUAUCUGGAGAACAACCAAGGAUUGUUUUUUGGCGGACUCCUUUUUACGAGAGCCAAGUAUGUAUUUGAUUCUCUUGCAAUGACAGUUUCUGCAUUGAGAUUUGGAACCAGUAAUUUAUGUGACACAUUUUUGGUCCUCUAGAAUUUGACGGAUCUACCACAAUCUUGGGAAGAGUUUAAGAAACUAAAGCUGCCUAUCUCUUUGCCAGUUCCUGCAGCAAGAUUUUCAUCCCCAGGAAGUGAAUUGCAAUGGGGUGAGCUUUUCUUCAAAAUUCAUGGAGUUGGAUCUCUUAAAUGAGUAGUUUCAUUAGAUAUCUGAUUCGUGAGCCAUUUAACGCUAGGGGAAAUGGUAAAUGAAACAUGCUCCAGGUUCUGUGCCAACGCUCGAUGACCUGAAGGACUAUUUGAAGGAAAGCUUAUGCGAGAAAGAAAAUAGCUGGAGGGAAAUGGCAGAGGCAUCUGCUGAAAGAGUAUUAAUGGAAAGGCUUGGUAAUUUGAAGGAAAGCAGUAUGGAGCCAAUUGUUGAUGGAAGUUUAGGGAAGAAGGUUGACAAUUCUGCUUUUGUCACAAGUAAAAGAGAUACUGUUGGAGGUGGAAAUGAGGCUGUACUCAAUGCUCUAGCAGGAUACUUGAGGUACUUGGAGGGUACAAGUCGAGAUGAAUGGCAAGAGUACGUGGCUAUUCUUAAUUCUGACGUUAUUGUGCUUCCCAGAUGCAUAUCAUAUGAAAGUGGGAUGCUUCUGGUCUAUCUUAGAACUUGUUGAAGAGUGAUUGGCGUUGGUUUUGAUACUGACCAGGGUUCAUGCGAGACUUCGUGAUGCCGAGAUUAGGCCUGGAGCUUCAUUUUUCAAACUUUUUGGACCUGUCCUCUGUCUUGGUAUUGUAUCCAGAAGAAGUGUUCACUAUGAAGCAAUCGAGUAUGAAAAAGAAAGGAAUGCUGGAUUUAUUUCUCCCUUUGGAUAUUCAGCUGCCACAGUGUCUGCUGCAACCGAUGCUGUGCGCUCUAUGGAGGUACAAAGACUCACAGACAUGAUAUCUCUAUGCUCCUACUUUCUUUUCCAAAAUAUUUGAAGCUGUUGGAUUUGUUUUGGCAGUGGUAUUAUCUCGUGGCUCUAAAUAGAGAGAGGAUUGAUGAAAAAAGGCACGCUAUAAGGAUUUGGAGAUGGAAGGGAUAUCUUAUUCAGGUUCCUGUUAUUACUUAUUACUCAUAUUUCUCCUAUGGCCUACAUUGGCCAUUUUUGUAAUCACACUUCUUGAUCUUUUUAUAUUUGCUUAUGGAAUAUAAAGAGGAAUCACUUCCUUGUUUCAGUACACAGUGGUUGGUAAUGAAGGCCCUGCCGUUCUUCUUGUGCAUGGCUUUGGUGCUUUUCUAGAGCAUUACCGCGACAAUGUAGACAACAUUGUAAAUAGCAAAAACCGAGUAUGGACCAUUACAGUCUUGGGUUUUGGAAAAUCAGAGAAGCCAAAUAUCAUUUACACCGAGCUUUUGUGGGCUGAAUUGCUACGGGAUUUUAUGAUUGAAGUAGUUGGGGAACCAGCACAUUGCGUAGGGAACUCAAUCGGUGGUAUGCACCCUAAGUUACUGAGAUGUAAUAUAUCCGUAAGGACAAUGGUUAAGAUACUCAUUUAAUUUUAUAUAUAUGUUUUUCCUUUAUCAGGGUAUUUCGUUGCAUUAAUGGCCUUUCUUUGGCCGGCCUUGGUUAAGUCCGUCGUCCUUGUUAACAGUGCUGGCAAUGUGGUACCUGGAUACUCUCCUCUCCCAAUCUCUAGAGUAUGUAUCAUUUGAAUGAAUGAAUAUCUGAGUUUUCAGAUUUUUUUAGAAAAACUUAAGAGUUUUGGCUCAGGAAUUAAGUUAUUAAGUAAUUAUCACACCCUAUUGUCCUUCUUUUUUUUUAGGAAAGGGGAGUUCCAUUUGGUGCACAACUGGGUGCUCGACUUCUUCUCUUUUUCCUACAAUUCAAUGUCAAAAGGCUAUUAAAGGAUUGUUAUCCAGUUGUAAGUAAUAUGAAGAUUUCGACAGCUGUAUGACAAAGUAUAAAUGCUCAUCAUUGUGCCAAAUUUCUAACCCAACUGCUUGUUUAUGAUGCAGAAACCUGCAAGAGCUGAUGACUUUCUCGUCACUGAAAUGCUAAGAGCAGUAUCCUUUUCUUUUUUUUGCAUUAAUUGGUUCAUGAUCUGCAAGUAAAAUAUUGAUGAUAGAGACAUUACCUUAAAACACACAAUAGUCUCGUGACCCCGGUGUGGUUAUGGUCCUGGAAAGUAUCUUCGGCUUUGAUCUUUCGCUUCCUUUGAAUUAUCUCCUCAAAGGGUUUGAGGAAAAAACUCUAGUCAUACAGGUAUCAAGAUUACAAACAUUGUUUGGAUCCUCAUUCUAACUUCUAUUAGGGAUUACACAGGAUCAAUAUUCAUCAGUUUCAUUCAUGUAUUAGGGGAUGAAAGAUCCCAUAUCGGAUCCGAAGAAGAAAGUAGCCUUACUGAAGGAGCUUUGUCCAGCGAUGGUGAUUAAGCAAGUUAAUGCAGGUAAAGCAAAAAACUAACUGCUAAAAACCCUAUACACCUUCAAUAUAGAUUGUGUAUAUAUCAUUCUUCUUGACUCUUGUCUCUGCAAGUAUAGGUCACUGUCCCCACGAUGAAAUCCCAGAAGAGGUAAAUCCGAUUAUCUGCGAAUGGAUAGUGAAGGCCACACUCGACAGUAACUAAAAGCCUCAUCAUCCCAGCAAAUUUGCCACAGUAAUAAACAAAACUAAGGAUUUGGUCAGCAGAAAGCAGUUAUUGAUAUGGUAUAGUUUGGUUGUGCCACCAAGACACCGUCAUAGAUUAGAUGUCAUCAACCCAAAUGCAAGAAACAUGACUAAGUUAAACCAAUUAAAAGGGAACCGUCAUUUUUCUUUCUGACUAUAUAUAUUCUUUGUUUAUUUAUCUUUUCGUAAGCCUGAGUCCGUAAUUACAAGAUUUAUAUAUGUUUUGAUUUAAUUAUUUGGACGUAAUGGCACUAUGUAUGUCUAUAGCUUUUUAGCUUGUGUCCAGUGUUGUCCCCUCCGAAAUUUGCUCAUCUCUGCCCCAUGUGGUAGUGCACUGCGUUUAAGCAACAUUCAGAAUUUCAGAUUAUGGAAGUAGGGACAAGAAGCUGUGGGUGGAACACACGUGCUGUUUUGGGAGGCUAAAAACGACACAGCGUUCGCGUCUUUAAAUGGUAAACUUUCACGUUCGCUUUAAUUUAGAGUCAUAUUCAGUUUUUUGACCUAUUCUUAAUUUUUUUGCUAAUAAAUAUUCGCAGAGGUCGCUUUGUGAAAUACAAACACAAAUCCCACCAAAACGGUGUCGCGAGAACGUUGAAGAAAUUAAUUUGGCGCACUGCUCCAUCAUUAUUUUAUUCUCCGUGAUCUGUUUUUUUUUGCGACGAUAUUUCUUGCUCGAUUCUGAAAAUCGAAAAAUCCAAAAUCGAUACCUGAUGAAGUAAAGGAAAUCGCAGACAAGUAAAGGAAGAAGACGACGAAUAAGAUGUGGAGACGCGUGGCUUUACUUUCUCCGAUGAUUUCUUCAUCAUCCCGAUCCCUUAUGCUUAAACAGGUACAAAUUUUCAAUCCCGAUCGCUUUUUCUCCGGGGGAAAUUCAAUCGUUGUCUCUUUCUCUGCUUGAAUCUUUGGUUUGUGGGUUUUAACUCAGUUCAUUACUUAUUUCUUCAUAUUCUAGGCAGCUUCUGGGCUCAAAGUUGGGGAAUCUUUUGCAACAGACAUAAUUAAACCGGUAUAUAGAUCAGGAAAAGCUCAAUUAAUUUGUUUUUUCGCCGUUAAUUGUGUGUUUUGUGUUAAAUGUGUUUUAUUAUCUGUCACAGGAAGAACCAGUUUUACCGCCGAAAGAGAAAGCUCCAUUUAUUACAUUUGUACUAGGUCAGUUUUGGAUUCUGGUGCUUAAUAUGUUGGAACCUAUGAGUUGGAAUCUAUCUAGGUUUCUAUUUGAGUUUCCUGUGAAAAAAAGUUGAAGAUGAUAUAAACGCUCACUUGUUCUUCAGUCAUGGGCACACGAUCUAUAGUAAUCCAUUCAUGUGAAGUAAAUAGACAUUUGGUCAUUUGUAUCAAUCUAGCUUUAACAUUUGAAUAACUUGAAUAUAGUCUGAUGGAUUUCAAAUAUCAGGAGGUCCUGGAAGUGGAAAAGGUACACAAUGCGAAAAAAUUGUUGAGACUUUUGGAUUGCAACAUCUAAGUGCUGGAGAUUUGCUCAGGAGAGAAAUCGCAAUGCACACGGAAAAUGGGUAGAAAGAUGAAGUUUCUAUAUAUCCAAUGUAUUAUUUACUAAGAAUGCAUCAAAAGUUUGUGGUCAUCUCAUUAUGAUGAGGGGAUCUCAAUUUCAGGGCUAUGAUUUUGAACUUGAUUAAAGAUGGGAAGAUUGUACCUUCAGAAGUUACAGUAAAACUAAUACAGAAAGAGUUGGAAUCGAGUGACAAUCGCAAGUUUCUCAUUGAUGGAUUUCCACGAACUGAGGAGAACCGUGUUGCUUUUGAGCGCAUAGUAAGUGGUGUAGUAUCUUCUCUUACAUGAAUAUACUCUUGCAACAAAGCUUUGAACAUGAAAUAGCUCCUUGAUUCUAUUGCAGAUAAGAGCAGACCCUGAUGUAGUACUGUUCUUCGAUUGUCCUGAAGAAGAAAUGGUGAAACGAGUCUUGAAUCGUAAUCAGGUGCUUAUUUUACAGUACUCUUCAUUUACUAUUUUAAAGUUAACAGUGCCAUGAAACUGAUCCCUUGCUGAUGCAGGGCCGAAUUGAUGAUAAUAUAACUACAAUGAAGAAGCGUCUCAAAAUCUUUAAUGCCUUAAAUCGUCCUGUUAUUGACUACUACAAAAAUAAAGGAAAACUCUACACUGUGAGUUCUUUGCAAACAUUUAUGACUUCAUCUCGUUAAUCUUUGUACUUAUUUGAUAUUUUGGGUUUGGAAGGUUGAAGAAGCUGUUGAUAAUGUUUGAUUCAAAUGCCUUAUUUGAUAUUUUUCAUCUUUGGUGCAGAUUAACGCAGUAGGAACAGUAGAUGACAUAUUCCAACAUGUCCUACCUAUUUUCAAUUCAUUUGAGGUAUACAUUAUCUGUCUCUCUCACUGCAUUUCAAUUCCAAAAGUUUUUCUUGUCUGCAUCAUCCAGACAGUAGGCAAUCAGGCAUCAUCCAGACAUCAUGAUUUCUAACAUAAAGUUGUAUAUCUUUAGAACUUGGCGAGAAAAUCAUAAUUAAUCCGUUCUUCGCACAGAUCAAUCCAUAUUUUGAGUAGAACAAGAUUUGUGUUAACACCUGCAAUUUUGGUGUGCAGCAAUUGAAGGAGAGUAGUCAUGUAAAUCCAAAGUCCCAUCUCGGUUCGAGUUUGGUAGAAAAUUCAUCUUGACAAAAGACGACCAGUCUGAAAUUUGUCCAUUACUCUUGAAUUUUGAUGCACUAUAUGCAAUUCGCAUUGCAUCUUUUUGUUUGUUGUACUUUGUAGUAGUAUCAUAAGGUAAACAAACCAAAAAAGUAUGUAACUUCUGAGAAAUUUAUUUAAUGUAUUCUCAUAAGACUCUGCUUCCCUCCAUUUAUCGAAUUCUCAACUAAGGAAGAAAAUUGAGAAAAGAGAAGAAGAAUGGUGAGUAUCGUUGUACACAAACCAAGCUUCUCUUAUCCAUCUGUAUCGUCUUCCUCAAUGAAAAAGAAACCCAGACAUCACCAACAGUUGAAGCAACACAGACAAAAUGAAUACAACAACAGUGGAUUCACUUCCCUCUCUUUCACCAAACCAUCUCCCACUCCUCUCUUGAUCGGAAAACAAUCGAUUCACCGGACCCAACUCGAAGCCUUAGACUCCGUCAUUACAGACCUCGAAGCCUCAGCUCAAAAAGGUAUCUCAAUCACCGAACCAGAGAUCUUCGCUUCUCUUCUCGAAACAUGCUACAAUUUAAGAGCUAUUGACCAUGGCGUUAGAGUUCAUCACCUUAUACCUCCCUACCUCUUGCGCAAUAACGUGGGAAUUUCGUCGAAGCUGGUUAGGCUAUAUGCGUCUUGUGGCUACGCGGAGGUUGCACACGAGGUGUUCGAUCGAAUGUCUAAGAGAGAAUCAUCGCCUUUUGCUUGGAACUCUCUUAUCUCAGGUUACGCUGAAUUGGGUCAGUACGAAGACGCCAUGGCUCUCUACUUUCAGAUGGCUGAAGACGGCGUGAAACCAGACCGCUUCACUUUCCCACGCGUCUUAAAGGCUUGUGGAGGAAUUGGGUCUGUUCAAAUUGGAGAAGCAAUUCACCGUGAUUUGGUUAAGGCAGGAUUCGGAUACGAUGUACAUGUGCUCAAUGCUCUUGUUGAUAUGUAUGCGAAAUGCGGCGACAUUGUUAAAGCAAGGAAUGUUUUCGACAUGAUUCCUAACAAAGACUAUGUUUCUUGGAACUCCAUGUUGACUGGUUACCUUCAUCAUGGCUUGUUACACGAGGCGUUGGACAUUUUUCGUCUAAUGGUUCAAAAUGGGAUUGAUCCUGAUAAGGUUGCUAUCUCCAGUGUUCUGGCUCGUGUUUUGUCUUUCAAGCAUGGACGACAGUUACAUGGAUGGGUAAUUAGGCGAGGAAUGGAGUGGGAGUUAUCGGUUGCGAAUGCUUUGAUUGUUCUAUACUCCAAAAGGGGACAAUUGGGUCAAGCCUGCUUCAUUUUCGAUCAGAUGCUCGAGAGAGAUACCGUAUCUUGGAAUGCUAUCAUCUCUGCUCAUUCUAGAGAUUCUAAUGGUUUCAAGUAUUUUGAGCAGAUGCAACAUGCUGAUGCUAAACCUGAUGGUAUCACGUUUGUCUCUGUUCUAUCUCUCUGUGCUAAUACAGGAAUGGUCGAAGAUGGAGAGAGACUGUUCUCUUUGAUGUCAAAGGAAUACGGGAUAAACCCAAAGAUGGAACACUAUGCGUGCAUGGUGAAUCUCUACGGAAGAGCAGGGAUGAUGGAAGAGGCUUACUCAAUGAUUGUUCAAGAAAUGGAGUUCGAGGCCGGUCCAACCGUUUGGGGAGCUUUGUUAUACGCUUGUUACCUCCACGGAAAUACAGAUAUAGGAGAGGUUUCUGCUCAACGUCUUUUCGAAUUAGAACCUGAUAACGAACAUAAUUUCGAGCUGUUGAUGAGAAUUUAUAGCAAAGCAAAAAGAGCAGAGGAUGUUGAGAGAGUAAGGCAGAUGUUGGUGGAUAGAGGAUUGGAGACAUAAACUGGUUCUACCCAAAAGGUACAUAUGAGUUUAUCUUCUUAAAUCAGCCCAUAUGAUGUCAUAUCAUGUUGAGUUAUGAUCUUUCACACAUACACAAGAGACUUGUUUGUUCAUAGAGAAAAAGAUCACAUGACGUGUGUGAACGCGUCUGAUUGGUUAGCUGUUAGAAGUGAUUUCUGCUUUCUAGAUUCUCGUGGGAUGUCUUUUGUAAGAUUUGACUUAAACUAAUGUCAUCACUAGAUUCUACUUUUCCUGCUGCAUUAUUCAAUUGAUAAGCUCUUUCUCGUGACCAGUGCUUCAUAUGGUUUAUACACAUGGGUUUAGUCACUGGUCACGUGCAUUUGGACCCACAACUUGCAAUAUUUAGAAAGCUAGGAUCCAAAUAUGUUGUUAGUAGAUGAAGACACACAGUUACAGCUCUUAUCCUCUGUCAUUGGUAUUCACAUUGCUGCACAUUUAUUGAUAUUUCAACCAACUCCCAUUUUUGUUAUAAAUAAGAAAUAGGGCUUUGUGUGUGAGGAUUUAAGGAUCAAUGUAUCUGCAUUCUCACAUUCAUUAGUCUUUUAUCUAUAAAACCCUGGACCCUUUUGCUGCUACUCCCACAUUUAGUUGUUGAAUUAAAAAAACUCAUUUGUGUUUGGAAUCCAAAAUGGCAAGAAGUUUCAACCUUUCUUUGAUUCUCUUUGUUCUGUAUCUGUCCACUGCAGCAAUAGCCAUGGCCAGAAACCUUGAAGAGGAAUCAAGUGGUGAUACGAAGUUCAUUAAAGCCUCUUGUGAGAUGACGUCGUACCCGGACCGAUGCUUCCAGUCCCUGUCUUCAUAUGCAAGCGAGAUCAAGAAGCAGCCACGUAAGCUUGCUGAGACAGCGCUUGCCGUUAGCAUAGCCCGAGCAAAGUCAGCCAAAACCUAUGUCUCAGAGAUGACUGACUAUAAGGGAAUCACAAAGAGGCAGCACGAGGCUGUAGCAGACUGUGUAGAGGAGAUGGGAGACACUGUUGACAGGUUGAGCAAUUCGCUGAAGGAACUGAAGCAUCUGGAGGAAGGUGACAGCGGAGAAGAGUUUUGGUUCUGUCUGAGCAAUGUCCGGACAUGGACAAGCGCGGCUCUGACAGAUGAGACCACAUGUCUUGAUGGAUUUGGAGGGAAAGCCAUGAAUGGGGAGCUGAAAAGCUUAAUCAGAACACGCAUUGUGAGUGUGGCGGAAGAGACGAGCAAUGCCUUGGCUCUGAUCAAUGACUUUGCUUCCAAGCAUUGAAAACAUUUCAAAGGGAUAUGGUCUUGGGGACAGUUUUUCUCUUGGAUUUGGUUUCUAUUGAGCUUUGAAGAAAUGUGCUUUGGUUUGGUUUUGAGGCAUUUCAGUUUCUCUUACCCUGUUGUUGUAUCAUCUACGGUCUACAUAGUUGAUGUUGAUUUUUCUCAAUGUUUUACAAUAGAUUACUUACCAAACAAACUUUUUUUUUUAUCUCAAAAACAGUAAGAGCACCUCCCAAUGGAGGUUCUCAUGUGAAUAUCAAAAAGGAUAUUGAUAUCAAAAAGGUUCUCAUGUGGGCUAGUGGUAGGACGGAUUUCGUGGUUGAGGGGGUAAUCUCAAUACGCCCGGGUUCGAUUCCCCUUUGCUACAUAUUAGAGGCCACCAGGGAAUUUACAUGCGGACUUGCUCUGGCGUCCGAGACCGUAGACCGUUACCUGGCCAUGACCCACCCUCGUGUGUGCAUCCGUGCCGUAAGGGUUCGGUCUCUAGUCUGGACCACCUUGGUGGGGCCAGGACACUCGGUUAUAAAAAAAAAUAUAUAUAUCUCCAAAAGUUAAGAAUCUUUACUAAAGUUUCUCAUUUGAGUAAAGAUUUCUCAUUCAAUUUUAUAGUAUUAAUUUUUUUUUGAAGAUGCUAUAUCUCAUAUGGCAUAGCUUUGGUUGAGAAAAAGAACACUGAUUGUUCUAGCACUUGUCAUGUAUGUGUCAUAGAAAAGUUGCAAAAGCUUUUGAAAAUUGAUUAAAAAAAAAAAACAUUAUAGAUUUUCUAAAACCAAUCCUAUCUUAAAGAAAAUUGAAAAAAAUAACCAUAUAGAGAUUUAUAGAGGAGAAUUAUAAAAGAAAUUAAUAAUUUUAUUAGUUUUAACUAUUUCCACUAUCGACUAAAUUUAUUAGUAAUGUAUGAAUCGUUGAUAAAUAAAGGGCAGAAAAGUCAUAAGGUCAACGGAAAACGGUCCACAUGGAACCGUUCAUAUGUAAUACGAAUCCUUCUGACAUGUUGAUUCUAUAUGCUUACUGUAUACUCAAGCCUCGGUGCAAUAUUAUAUGAAAAUUUUUUAAUGUAUCAAUUUUAUCAACAACAAACGAGUUCAAUUUUAUCAUUAUUAAGUUAUAUUUUGGUCAUAUCAAUUGACUUUUAUACUUUGGUAUAUCAUCCGGUAGGGAUGAAAAAUGUACUUCAAAUUUCAAAAGCUUAAUUUGUGAAAACAUUCGAGACAGAUUCUGAAUAUUUCCAGAACUCUUUUAUAUCUAAGCUUAAUUAACAGUGAACCCAAACAUGGCCACGUACUAUACAUAUGCGACUUCAAUUAAUUCGUAAACGUUACACGCUGUGAAAACUUCGAAUUUAGAUUACUAUUUAUCGCGUAAAUUAAAGAAAAGAAAACGUACACAUGCACAAGCAAAAAGAUCGAGGUGCGGUGCCGUGAAUAUAAUGGAUAUUCAUCAGUAACUUAAAUAAUGAGUAAGAAGGGCUAAAGUAUUGCUUGUAGUCUUUGAAAGCUGAGAAACAGCCUUCUUCACCUUCUUCUUUGUUUCCACAUUUACUUUCCCUUCCUCGAAUCCGUCCGUACACGUGCCCUCGUAGGUCAACGCAGAGCUCACCCACGUCAUCACGUUCUUUAAAUGCUCCUCCGUAGUUUUUCCUCGGCCUCUGACAUACUUCAUCUCGGCGACCGCUUGCUUAAGCUCGUCGAUAGUGUCCUUCAUCUCGUCCACGCAGUCUUUAAGGAUCGAGACCUCGUGGCUUUUGGCGGCUUUAGCCUUUUGGAGAAGGUUAGAGACAACUAAUGUGGAAUUUUUAGCCGAUUUGACGUUGAGGUUGAGUGAUGUUGUGCAAAGUUUGAUUGGGUCAGACUUGAUGGUGGCGGAGUAAGAGGACAAUGAGUUAUAGCACAUCAUAGGAUAUGUUGUUGAAUUGCAUGCCGUUUUUACGUACGUUGUGUGGUUUUGGUACGUGCCUGGUGGAGUGGCUACUGUAUUUGGAAAGCUUGAUGAGUUGAUGAAAACCAUGAGAGUUAGAGAGAGUAUCACGAAACGCGACAUGUUUGUUUCGGGAAUUGAAAAUGCUAGCUUUUAGCAAAUUGUGAAACUAUCGAUUAUGUGUAUAUAUAUAUAUAUAUAGACACAUUGGAUUAUAUAGACACCUUGGAUUGUUAAUUUAUUAUUGGAGGUCAUGUGACAUAUCAUGCUGUUGUUCCAGUUCUCUCCCCGAUCAUUAACCACUUAUUUAUCUUAGUCUCGUUUCUCUCUAAUCUUUAUGCUUUGACAUGUAAACAAUCAUACGAAGAUUGUCAUAAUUUGCUAAACAUGGCCAUUUCAAAUCAAACGACCGUCUGCUUAUCUGUUUAUCAUAAUUUACAAAACCUAGGCGUCUCAAAUUACACCAAACAAUAUUUAGAAGCUUUUUUUUUUGUGUCCAAAUAAAAUUUGAAGAUUAUUACAAAUUUCAUUCCGGUGUUUAAGCAAGGUAUCACGUGAUGUGAUAUGAUGUGCAUGUAACAUGAACGUGGACCAGAUCUCUUAUUUCGGAGAAACAUCAACUUAUUUUUUUGUUUAAGAUAUUAUUAGUCAUAAUUCUUCUGUAAAUUAUUAAGAAAGACAGAUCGACGUAUCAUGUACAUUAUAGAGAAUUGAUAUGCAAAUUAGGUGUUUUAUACGUAGGUGUUUAAUGGCUGGAAAUUGCACAUGAUUUAUAUAAAAAAAAAUUAGAACAUUUAAAAUAUCAAUCAGCUAAAGAAAAAUGUAAAGCUGUGCACAAAAUUGCAAAUUUCAGAACAAAGUGAUACGAAUAUGAGAGUUGUUUUCAGAACUAAAAGUUCUUCGAGAAGUAUUACCAAAUGAAGUUAAGAAGCAUCUAACGAAAACAUAAAGUUCUCAUAUCUUUUGCGGUUGCAAAAUAGUAUUAACUAAGUUUUCUAUAUUUUAGAAAGUCAUGGGUACACAUAAACUUAGAAUUGACAUUUCAAAGUUCAACCAAUCACCCUAUAUUAUGGAAUCAUAGGAAGAAAAAAGGAAGCAGAUGGCAGUUAAUAAAAAAAAAUUAAGAUAGAGAAAAUCCAACAAUGAGAAAAUAAUGUGGUAUAAGAUGGGAGAAACAUGAAGGAAAAGAAAAAAGAAACUUUUUCAUUACAAUUGAGAAGAUGCUAAACCAUUUUGGCCUCAAACAACAAAAGAACCAAGAGUUGUUCACAUCCAUGGCCCAUGGGGAUAAAUAAAUCUAAAUAUCAUUUAACGUCUACUACAUUCUACAGCCGAACUAGUUGGAGAUCAGAAUAACAGACCGUAGAACCUCACUUCUCCGGCAGAAAGAUGUAAAAAGGCUUAGCAAAAUGUCAUAACCGAGGCGAGCAACACCAUUAGCAUUAGCUUCAAGCGUCCAUUUAGUAUAGAUGUUGCAGCUGAGUGGUGCUGUUCCCUGCAACAAUCACGAUAAAGAGUGUUAAGAUUCUCAUCAUCCAAAGGCAUAGCAAAACAGAUAGAAGAAAUGUUUCAGAUGAAUACUUCUGCAAGUUCUUAAGGGCACCACAGUAAAGGACAUUGUCAGGAGGAUCCAUCUCUGUCUUUCCAUCCUCAUCCGGGUUUGUGAUCCGCAUAUAAGUUUCCUCACCAAGAUACCAUCGGUCAAGAUUCUCUACUCGAAUGUUCCACACUCCGACAUUAUCAAGGGAAAUAAGUACAGCCGUCCAUCCCCCUGGGUAUACCUAAAUAACAAGAGAACCAUUAAGAAAACCUGCAGUUCAGAGUAAUUUUGAGUGAUGCUACGGUGUAUGAACCUCAACUGUGCUUCUUGAGAUGGCAUCAUAGUUGUUAUAUGAACCCUUUUUGUCUUCUGACCAGAUACCAAAGUCCAUCCUGGAUUAUCAUGGUACAUCAGCACCAGAUUUUUUUAUAGAUAAUUAAAUGGAGGAACAAGAAUAGAAGACAAGGUGCCAAGGUUUCUCUUACCCAACAACAAAAAAUGAAUAUCCAUCAACAUGGAAGCUCUGGAUCUUGGUGUCGUUGUUCUGGAAAAUAACUUGUAUAAACCCCUUGUAUGUUGCGUUGAUCAUAGAUCUGUCCAAACGAGGAGGUCUACUAAAAGGUCUAUCAGGGAAGUCCAGCUUAUAAGCUCCUUUCACUUUAUUGCGAUCCGCAAGCCUCACUGGAGUGCUUGGAUUCACAAAUGAAAUCCCAUUAAGUGUAGCACGUAGUGCCCCGUUAAUUGUUGUUGGAGGCAAACUUCUCAAAAUGUAUGUGUUAGUGAUGUUUAUUUGACCAUAGUGAAAUGAUCCCUGCGGAUUUGGACGAGCUCCACUAGCAGAUGUGUUUUGCCUGCAAAUCAAAAGAGUCAACUUCACUGGAACAAAAUUCUAGUUGUAGCAACAAGAAGGGGAACAUUAAUAUGCACUUGCUCCUAAAAAAUAUUCAAAAUCAAACCUGAUGGCCUUCGGCUGGUUCAUUGCUGACCAUGGGCUAGAAACAUCGGUUUUUGGAACUGGUAGAGGACCAGAAACAGGUCCUUUGGAAUUAGAAUAAUGGAGAAUGGCAACACCAGUGACUCUUUGCCACACUGUUUCAUUCACAAAUCUAGCACUGGCAACAAUGUAGUAGUCACUUGUGGCGUUUUGGUCCAUGGUUACCAAGAAAGAAUAAGACUGUCCUACAUGAACAUCAAAAUCAGUAAAGUUCGCCUGUGAGGUAUAGUGACCCUCGGUUUCUACCAAAAGCAAAUUGUGGUUCUGAAUCCUGAAGUUCAAGCUUGUCGAGAUCCCAACAUUGUGAACACGGAUUCUGUAUGUUUUUCCUGCAAAAUAUAACCUUUUUAGUUUAUUAGAAAACUAAUAAUUUGCAAUGAAUCUGCACAAAUCUUAUCAAUCUUAUACUAAAAAAACUGAAGAUGUGAACUUUUGAAGUACCAUCUUUACAACAUGUUCAACUACAUGCAACAGUUACUCAUGUAUUAAGAGCUCUAAGUGAAUAAGGAAAAAUAAUAUCUUGGAACAACAAAACUAACUGAGAUUGAAGACUCAACACAGGCAACUCUUCAAACAAAAUGUUACUAGGAUGCAAAGGAAAGUCACAUGAGAAGAUUCAUGGGUCUCAUGAGACAAAGAAAUAGCAAAAAUUCCUCAGAAACUCCCAACAAUUAUACCUGGUUCAACAUGAAAGGUUAAGUAAUCAAUUCCAUCAGGUACACUACUGUUGUACUUGUAAGGACCCUUCCCAUUGAUGAGGACUCCAUCUGGCAUCCCAAGUUCUUUCCCAGAGUCGAGUAUUCUCCUUAAUGCCUGAGAAGCAACAGUGUCUCAGGUAUAAAUGCAGGGUGCUGAUAAGUGAUAACCACAUGCGUUAAAGGAAAAUAUACAAAAGUCAUGAUUACAUACUUUAUGGUCCUGAGUGUACCAAUCACCAAUAAUGAAGAUGAGUUCGCCGUCAGGCUGUGGGAAAGGGAUAGGAAUAAUGUCACGGUUAUUAAUCACGAUGGGACCAAAACCCCCAGAUGCUCUCUGAAAGUUGAGUGAAGGGGAGUAGAAAAAGCUUCCAAUUUGAUCCUUCACUUGAAAUUGGUAAGUAAAGUUCCAUCUGGGAGGAAUAGGGCAGUUUGUGCCAAGAACACCGUCUUGCCACGAGUUACGCCGCAUUUGGAUGCCAGGCCUAUUCCAACAGACAAAUGGAAGAACCCAAGAAGCAUACUAGUCUUUAGAAACUAGGAGAUAAGGAGGUAAAUAAAAGAGACAGAGCUCUUGGUCUCACCAAGUCAAGAGGAGAGGCUCAUCCAAAUGAUUGAAAACGUUAACAACAACAUUGUAGUUGGUAGUGGCAUUAAGCAGAGGUCCUGGAAACUGCCCAUUGACAGCUAUAACCUGAAUAAACGAAGUUAACACCAAAUCAAAGAAGGCUAACACAUUAAAAAAAAGUCAAUCUUUUUGAUGCCAAUCAUAGAACAGGAACCAUUAGUGAAUACCUAAACCCAUGUAAAGCACAAUCAACCUCAGUGACCCUCUUUAGCAUUUACCAAGUUCGAUACCAAAACCCAAAAAAAAUUAUGAUAGUAACCUCAAACACAUUGUAUAUUUAGAUCCAGAGGUACCAAUACAAGUUUCAAAAAAAACUAAGAAAGCAAAAGCAUUCUAAGACGCCGGCAUUGAAUCUCUCUCUCAAUCGAAAGCGAGAACCUUUAUUCAAACACAGAACCGGAGAUUUCCAAGGAAAGGUGAGAAAGAAACGGAACCUGUUGAGGAACGCCGAGGGGAGAAGCGGUGAUGUAAGAAACUCUGAAGUCGUAGGAGACGAAAGGGUCCGCCGCGAAAGACACGCCGGAGAGAAGAGCAAAGCAGAGGAGGAACACAGAACAAGUCGCCGCCAUAAAGUUAGGUUUUUUUUUAUUGCGUAUCCGUGAUCACAAAGCUUACGGAUUUGACAUAAUCAUUAUAUGAGUGAAUCGAAACGGUAGAGAAGACGAAGCAAUGUGUUUAAGUGUCAGUGUGGGUUUUUGAACUUCUUCUUACAAGACACUGGAAAAUGAGAGACACUUGACUUUUUUAUCAUUUUUUUUUUUUUUUUGCCUUAUUUUUAGAAAUAAAGUUUGUUUUUUUCUUCUUUUUUUUCCCAUAAAUUUACACAAAAAAAAAAAAGCUUUGCCUUUAAACAGUUCUGAAAAAAGCAUUCAUAUUUUUGUAUUUAUCCUUAUGUGCCAGUGUACUUUUUUGGGGUUUCAAUAUCUCUUAAUUAAUACUUGCUCAAAAAAAAUCUCUUAAUUAAAAAAGAGUUAAAAAAAAAUGAACUCAAGGAAGAGCGUUGAAUUGCAAAGAUUGAGGAGAAGACCUGGAAACAUGUACCAGAAGAAUGUGGGAACAAAUCAUCCAGUUUUUUUGUUAUUUUAUCAUUUCUUGGUCAGGAUUUAACGUACAAAAUAUAUAAUUCUACAUUCUUAUUAAUUAAGUUUAUGUUGUUCACCUUUUCUUUUGUUUUUCCUUAGAUUUUCUCCAUAUGUUGCAUUGUAACUUUGCUACAUUAUGUCAAUUAAGCGUUCCAUUAAAGUUUCGAUGCGUUGAGAUUAGCAUAUGAAGAAGAUUUCAGAUGACUAUCAAGAGAUUGUUGCAAACUAGUGGUCUCACUUCCUGAUACUUGCGUCUUGCUUAACUAAUUACCCUAUUAAUAUCUUUGAUGUAGAGUCCCUCCACCAAAUUGAUAAAUGAUAGUAAUAUUGAGUAUCUUCUACUAUCAAAUACACUUGCAAAUUUUCUUACGUCUUUUGAUCACUUGCUCUCUAAAUUGAAUAUUGUUUCAUGGCCAUAUAUCUGUCACUUGCUUUCUCUUAUUCAAUGUUUCAUGGCCUUCCCUUUGUCUGAGGUCUCAUAUAUGUUAAUCUUGUUCCUUAUGUUUUAAAAAGUACUAUAUCUUAGACGUAUAAUAUUCCUCAUUUGUUGGGAAUAGAUUUUUAUGCCAGCUAAUGUACCUCAUAUAUUUUAAUUGAACGUAGUAUAAAAUUUAUCUAAGUAGAUAAAUGUCUAGAAGCGUAUUAAAAUAAGACAAAGUGGUUCUCUUUUGCCAUAGCAAUUCACACACGGCAUGGACAAAAACAAAGUUGCUUCCUUCGAAAGAAACAAUCUCUUCACAAUCUUUUUGGCUUAAAGUUGCGUUAAAAGUACCAACAUGAUACUUUUCUAUUGAUUAUUUUACUCGAAAUGGGUAUGAAAAAUUAGAUUUUAUAUGUUAAUUUUCUUCGAUAAGAUUUUUAUAUGUUGAAUAUAUUUUAUUUGUCUCUUCACUUUUAAUCUGUUCCUCGAAACCUGUAGACUUAAGUUAUCAAAGCCAGUAUAGAGGAUAUAGAAGGAUACUCUUAAGUUCUUCAGAAAAAAAAAUUGAGUUUACACAUUUGGUGAUAUACUACAGUACAGGCUAUUUGAUCAAUAACGGUAGAUUCUUUAAUUUACUUCUUCAUUUUAUUGUAAAUUACACAUUCUUAUACAGGAGAGAUAGCAGCAGCCAAAAGAGCAGCUGCAAAGAGUGGUUACUCUCCCUCGAGACUGGAGCCGAGGUCAGACUGCGACAAAGAUAUCUCCAGACCACCAAGGCAUCAUCAUCACCUUGAGUAAAUAUCCGAACUUAUUUUUCGCAAGAGAGCAAUGAACAGAAGCUAUACACUAGAGCCUCUUCUUCUCUAUAGCAAAAAGUGAUGCACAUUGCUUUAUAUUUACAGCGGGUGAAGCUUGGAAUGUUGGGUGGUGUGUAAAGACUUAAGGACAAGGAUAUGUCCCCAAUCAUUAAUCUAUAUCUAAGGUUGAAAUGCAAGUGCUUAGUAUAUAUUACACAAACUAUCAUCACAUCUGGAGAAGAUUGUUCACCGUAACAGCAACAGAGUUUGUUCUCUGCAGGUCCUGCAAGAAAUUGAAACGCAACAGGUUCAAGUAUCAAGUCACAUGAAUCUUACUUAGUACUGAACUAUUCACCACUUACGGACCAGUCUAGAGCAAACAAGAGACCAGGUACCGGACAAUGGGUUCAAGCAAAUUGACCACAUAAAUAAAGUAAUAAGAUUCGGUUUCAGGUAUGAAUAUAUGAAAAUCGUUCCUUCCAGUCAAUGCAGAAGACCGUCUAAGUGACCCACCAACUCAACCAUGUAUGCACUUCCCGUCAAAGCUUACAGAAUAUCCAAUAUGCACUUAAUAUUUACCUGGAAAAUAAUUUCAUCGGGCACGUGUGGCAUGACUUCCCUCACAGUCUCGGCCAUAGCUAGUAUAUUUGCCAAGCUUUCAUUUGUCGUGCUUGAUACAGUUCUCAGAUGCAGACCACCUGUCCUUCCACCAGUACCAGGAGGUACAGUUGUAGAAGAAGUGGAUGCUUGUGAAGGGUUCAUCGGCCAUAGACUCCAAGCAGCAUCGUCAAGUGCAGUUUGAGCAUAGCUUUCGCCAACAGAUGCAAGAUGCCUCAUCAUCAUCUGAACCCGCCCCAGUCCAACUGACCUGGAAGCGGUAGAGGGACCAGCGACAUCAGAACCCUGACCUGACCAUGUCUGCAGCCAGCUUGGAUCCAAUCCUAAAUUCCUAUUUUGUGAAAGAAAAGGAUGAGAACUUAUACAAUCCAGUUCAAAAUGCAACUCUUUAAAAACAAAUCCAAGAUAUAUGCACAAAUAGUGGUCGUUACAAACCAAAUAUUACUUGCUAUCCAAUUCAUUUUUAAAUAAUGUAUAAUUUAAGGUAAUGCAAAUUUAGUAUAUCAGCACCAAGAUCAAGGGAGUCACAGGAAAGGAAUCAUUAAGUUCUAAGCAAACUGUUACUUUGGUGUAGUUAAUUAAGAAAAUCAAGGACGAAGAAUGAACUGAACCUCGAAGUAUCAUUUUCGACGGAAUUUGGCACCUCGGCAGGAAAUAAACCAGUUGCUAGUGCACGAACAGGAUUGUUUUGUCUUUCAAGCUGACGGGCUAACUGCUCAUCGCUUGAGACUUCCACUGUGUGAGGGUUCACCUCACUUUCAGUUCUACCAACAAAAAGAGGCUUACGACAUGUAGGACAAGAAUAAACCUCAUUUAGACCUUGAUCCAACCUGCCAGCAUCAAAACAUCAUCAGGAUCACCAGUUUCAGUCAUAAAGACAUGGGGCUGCCGAUAUUUAGCUAAGCGCACCAGGAUCGCAGGCAUCCAAGAUGGAAAAGGUGGUUGCAGUGAAGCCUUUUAGCCUUGGCCAUAGGUUCCUGCCAUUUAUAGUUGUAUUUUAAGAGUUUGAGAUUGAAAACUUAUAAGAAAAUGACUAUAGCAGAAGCAUACCCGACAUAUAGCACAUUCAUCAUCAUAUGCCCUUAACUCUUCAGAAGUUGCAUCGGGGAGGGCUGCAUGGAGAGCACCCAGAGCUAUUCUUAGUUUAAUAUAUCCUUUUAUUCGUUUCAAAAUGGCACUUAGCAAUGCCUGCCAAACCAAACAGAGAACCAGGUCAAAAAUACAACAAUCGAAUGCUGUGCCUAGUAUCAAGUAACCGGAAGAGUGACAGUGUUUUAAAGAAAACCAAUUAACAAACAUACACGUAUGUUGAGAAACAAAACUGCAUCCACCAGAUGAAAGGCAAUGCCAUGCAGCCACCAAAUGUGCAAAUAAUGACCUAGUGCCAUUACCAAAGUAGCCAUGUCCAGGAAGAAACCGAGAUUACGGUUGAGGAGGCCCUUCCAUUCCAACAGUGAGCCUAUCCAAAGAUAAGAAUUUACCAUAAGAUUUGGAGUUCCAAUAGACCAAAAAUGUCCACAGAAAUGCAUUCCCGGGAUCUAAUAGAAAAACAAAGCAUAACACCAGAAAAGAUGUUACCUGCUGUCAUGGAAUCGAUAAACUUAGAUCUUUGGCAGUCUGAGUUCUGAACUGCUAAGUGGUUAAUCCACAUAUCUAGCAGCUGAAACCCAUGAAUUAACAGCGCCUGCAAAAAAAUUCUAAUGAGUUCUAUAUUUUGUUGACCAUGGCUACAAAAGAAAGACAACGAGUAGGACAAAGAAGACAACUGUUAUAAAUUAAGUACCUGCAAGGUCUCAAAAGCUAUACUGCAUGGCUCAAAAAGUAACAACAGAUACACAGAGGAACCAAUUGUAUUGUAUGUCAUAAGGGAAAGUUUUAUCCUGCAAGAUUGGAGGAGAAAAGUAAAUCCUUUUACUCAGUAUCUCAUCCAGACAUGCUUGAAAUUGGUUACUAAAAAGUUAUCACACAAAGAAAUCAAACGAGUUUCCUAACUGGACUGCAGUCCACAAACAUUAUGAACUCAGACACAACAUUUUCCUUGCUCUACGGCAUCCACAUUUUCACACAGAAGUUUUUGGCUUUACUUUCACCUUGACGCAGAGUUCAUGCAUAGAUGAAUUUCAGGAUAACAUCUCUCACAAUAUAGCAUAAACAUAAAAAGCAAGCUAUGCACUCUCUCUAUGUUGUUAAAGAGCUUUAUGAAGUUGUUCUUGACGGACUGCGGUAAAUCUAGAGAACAUCUACUCUGAUCCUUUAACAUAAACCAGGAGUGUUUGAGAAGAAAAACAAGUUGUAUGUAUAGGAUCAAGAUCAACUUCCAGGAGCACCACUUUUCAAUUGAAAUUAAGAGCGUCAGCCAUGUAGGUUAAUUUUUUUUACCUAAGUUUUGUUUAAGAAGUAUAUAUAGAGUCCAGAGAGAACAUUGAAUGGAAACAUGACUUCGAUAGUUUAAGGUCAUGAAUAGAUAGAAGAUGCAGCAAUUGAAUAUUUGACACUAUACCGCAGGGUUUAGGAUUUACCAGAACAUAUCAACAGAGAGGACCAAGAACAGCACUGAAUACACACGAAAGUAUGUCCAAGGUGUAGAAGAAGGAGAUGCAUUCAAUCGUUCAAGCCGGUCUCUAGCCAAAGCUUGAAACAUCUACAUGGCAUUACAAAAUACACAUUAGGGUGUUACAAAAGAUAAUUCAGAAUUUGGUUUCUCGUAAAUCAAAAACACGCAGUGUUCCAUACCUUUAAAGUACAUAGAACAGUCAACCAAACUGUCCACAGUACACCCUGAAAUAUUGUUGGGGGAAUCACCAGUGGUAGAAACGUACCCUAAGGAUAGGAGGAUUAGAAGCGGGAAUAAACUAUUAACAUCCAAAAUACAUACAGAUAUCUGCAAAUAACUCGAAUCAAGGAAACACUACACAAAAAUGCAAAGUUCAAGGGGAAAUGAAGGGAAAAUGUGGUAGAAUCAUCUGUCUAAGUAAAGACCUCCCUCAAGCCUCAAAAACUAUUUUCUUCUCUUUUCCAUUACUCUGUCAUUAUAAUAAUAUUCCAUUUGUUUUCCUGACGCAGUUACGAUAUUGAAUAAUGAAAACUACCAAGAAUAUCUCAUACGAAACAAAGAAUGUAGGUUAUUGUAUGUCACAGUCUUAGUUUUCAAUCAAAGUAAGAACAGCUACCUUGUAUAUGAUAUAAUUGGCAAGUCGCUCCACCAACUUUUUAGUUUCAACGUCAUAUAAAUCUCCAAAAAAUAGAGUCUGCAGAAGAUGUUUAAAAGACAUUAGAAGCACAGAAAAUUGUCACAAGACAUAUGUAAACAAUCAGUAUACUAUGGUAGCAAACAGUAUGAAAUUAUUGAGUUUUCUUUCAUGCAAGACAUUCGACUAGCCGGAAACGAGAGUUUGACUCUUACAAAUUAAGAACACUUGCUUCUUCACAAACCUUUAUUUGAAGGUGAAAACUAAUUAUAAUGUAUUCGAUUGUAACCAAACUAAGAACUGUAAAUUGGACUCUUUUUCCAACAAAAGAGAAAAUAAGUGGUGCAAGUCUGAAAAUUUAAGAGCAUAAAUUUUUUUUUCCCAAAGCAACAAGUGAAACCAUUAAGAAUAAGAGUAACAAAUAAUGAGACACCUCUGUACAAGUGACUUAUGUAGAUUAGGAGGCAAAAAGCUAAGUCUAAGGAUAUGAGGAAUUUCAUAAAGGUAUUAACCGCUCAAAGUAUUAACUAAUGAAAUUAGGAAGUUCAGUUUCACCAAUUUGAUACAGUCUACAAAAGCUAAAUAUUAGAAAGAGCAUUGCUUAAAUUGCAUCCCAGUAGUAAAAUGCUACUCUAAUAAAGUCUUACCUUGAGAGAAAGUACCAGAAGAAUAUACACAUUGAGCACAAAAUUAGUGAGCAGCGCAAUAGUGAAAUAAGAGGCGAGAAGCAGCUCAAGCGCAUGCUCGGAGUCUCCUAAAGAAACGUUCUUGGCAAUCAGCCCAUCAGCUCGAAGUCUAUCGAGAGAAAACUCUGUCCAGACUUGAAGUCCAACAAAGCUGAGAGCUGUUGAUGCUACGGAGAGCGGCAAGUACUUAAUCCCCAUUAGGAACAAUAACAGCCUUCCCACUUAAACUUAAUCCCCAGAAUCUCAUUUAGUCAUAUUAGCAUGACGCCAUCUGCAGCCACAUGAUCUCUCAUUAGUAUUAAGACUCGGACGAUACAAACAACAACAACAACAAAUUGACCAUAUUUGCAUAAAAAGAUGAUUUUUUUUUUCUUUUUCAGAAUCUAGAGAAAAUUGAGCUCCAAAGCAGAGGACAUCCAAAAAUUGGAUUCUUUUAGAUUUGAGUCAUAUUUCCACAGGUGAAAUUAGAUUUGUAGAGAAGCCAAAAAUGCAAAAGAGAGGUUCCAAGUACAAGGCCCGAUUCACCGGAAAGAAAAAAGAUAUGAUCCCAAAAAUUCACAGAAGAAACAUAAAUCAAAAAUCCAAAAUUGAAGAAAGGAGCUGGGAGGAAUAAAAUGCAGAGAUCAGAGUUGUAGAAAUGGAUCGAUUCGCAGAAAAACCUGAAUCCGCGAAGCUGUCGGUUGUGAAAUUCUCUGAAAGCACCGUGCCUCUCUGUCUUUCUCUCGAUCGAGAGAAUCGAAAAGUAGAAAAGCAAAAAUCGAUAUCUUCUUCUUCCUCGAAACAAAACUUUUCUUAUUAAUUAAAAAACAAAAGUAAGAAAAUAAAACUGAUACGGUCAACACAUGUUUUUUUUUUGGUGGUUAAUUUUGUCAACAUAUGUAUGCUUGCUCACUUACGGAAAAUUUUUAAUAUAACAUCUAAAUAAUAUUUUAACUCGUUUAUAUAUGGUUUUGGUGAAACCAAAAACUCUAGUUAUAAUGUUUAGACUAAUCAUUUUUACCAACAGCAAAAUGAAAUAUACAUCUUACGAAAGAUAAAUUUUAAUUAUUUUUAAAUUGCUAGAAUUUGAUUUUUGAUAACCCAUUAUUUUUGACGCACCAACAAAUUUGAAUAUGACCGAUUCAACCAAAAACACCUUUAAAAGUCAAAAAAGUUUUUUCUUAAGUUGGUCUAGUUCCCACUAUUCUCCCAUAGAAGAAAACAAAUAAACAAGAGCUAAAAAUUCAUAUGGAUCAAUGCAAGCCCAUGUAAGUUAACUAUAUUUGGGCCUUCUAAGCCCACUAAUGAAUCUUCAAUCUCCGACUUAUUAGUUUCCAGAAUUCUAAAGAUCUUCUCGAAUUUCGCUUUUAAUUCCGUCAAUCACCGAUCAAAUCAUAAACCCUAAAAAGAAACUCCGAUCUAGUUCGCACCGGAGUGGAGAAGAAGAUGGGAAUAAUAAGGAGCAGCUUCUCUUUCAUCACGGGAACAGUGUGCGGGAUCUACAUCGCUCAGAACUACAACGUUCCUAACAUCAAGAAGCUUAGUCACUGCGCCGUUUCAAUGGCCAAGCAAGUUGAGGAGAAAUAUCGCAAGCCCAAAAGCAGAGACGACGUUUGAGAUACAGAUUCCACUAGCAGCUUCUCCGGUGAAUUCACCCAUCUUUUUCCUCCUGAUAAUUUUGCUACUUCUUAAGGUUUAUGUGUAAUUUGUGGGAUUGUAAAUUCAGUGAAAUUUGACAAUCAAAUGAAGAUUCUUUUCUCCGAUUGCUGCAAUUUUCAGCUGAUUUUAUCAAAUUAGGUAUUUAUUCUCAUUCAAACUUUAGAAAGUGAAGACAUGAUCAUGUUUAAGACAACUGGGAAAAAGGAACCAACUUUAAAUAAAAAGUCUCGAAAUCAUGAAGGAAAAAAAAAACUCAAAGGAGGACAUCAAUGGGAGCUCUGGAUGCUGGUGAUGAUGAUGAUGCAGCUACUUCUUCUUCUGAUCCAAACAACAAAGCUUUGACUUCUGCUAUGAUUAGUUUAGUGAGCAACAAUCCAGAGAUCAAAGCCGCAGUCAUCAACAUGUAAAACACUGCGUCCCAGCUAAUCGCAGAGAUGUAACCAGUGAGGACUGGUCCAAUCGCAGCACCGACGGAUCCUGUACCGUCUAUGAUAGCUGUGACUGUAGCCAAAGCCCUGGCAUUGCCUUUGAGAGAUUUGUGUGUUCCGAGAUCAGCUGAGACAGCUGUUGUGAUGAGAGCAAAUGGUCCAAUGAUGAAGACUCCUGAUAUGAACAUGAGGAUGACAUUGAUGGUCAAUGAGAUAUGUCCCAAGACUCUGUAGAGGAAAAGAGCUGGGAUUGCCAAGUACAUGAAUCCUGCUGCUGUGAUCGCUCUGCCGUUGAGUUGAUCAGACAUGUAUCCGGCUAAGACCCCACCAACAACACCUCCAACAUCGAAGAUUGUUGACAAGUUUCCUGAUGUCUCCUCAGACAGGUACUCUCCUCCGAUCACUGCAUCACGUAUUAAUUAUUCAGACUUUACAUAUAUCAAGGCUACAACACUAGAGGUAAAAGGAAGGAGAGAUGAUGAGAAACAUACUGUUGUGGCUGACGUAGAAAGGAAGCCAGUAGAGGAAUGUGUAUGAGACCAACUUGGUGAAGAAGAGGCAGAAGGCGAAAGGAGCAACACCGGGGAUUUUCCAAGCGGCCAUGAACCCGACUGCCUUUCUAUCGAAUCCAGUACUCAUUCUAGAUUCCAAGAAGCUCUCUGUAAUGGUGUCACCGAGCCUCAUGGUGGAGUCAAUUUCAGUUCCAUCUCUCUCAGCCUCAACGGUUGGAGGAUUCACCGGCAAGAAAAGGUAAACAACGAUCCCAAGAAAAGUCAUGAGCAAAGCCGGGCCAAGAAAUGACCAACCCCACCCAUAUCUAAGCAGCCCAGAUGCGAUCAGAGACCCUGCGAUGUUACCGAGGGAAGUGUGAGCACUCCAAACACCCAUAACCAUUCCUCUUCUCUUCUUGUCGAACCAGUUCCCGAGCACGGCCACGACACAAGGCCAACCUAUCGACUGAAACCACCCCGCCAUAACCUGAACCGCCAAGAAAUAGUAGAAGCUGUGGAAAUCUGCCCAGAAUGCGACCCCAAAUAGAGCUGUGAAAAGACCGGUCCCGAUCAUUCCGAUAGUCAGAAACGUCCUGAGAUCCAAACGAUCUCCCAAGUGGCCCGCCACAAACAUCCCAACCGCAUAGACAGAGAGGAAAACCAAGUCGAUCUGCCCAAGCAAGGCUGGUCCAUCGGGUCCAUCAAAAGGAGCCCAACCGCCUUUGAUUGUUGAUGCGGAAAGCGUUCCCUUGACAAUGCUAUUGGGCUUUCGAGCAGCAUGGAAGGCGACGUAGGCGACAAAGGUCAAGAUAAAGACAAGGGCUUGGUAUUGCUUGAAGGAGAGUCUUCCUGAACGCUUAAACCGUUCCAAGAACUGAAUACCCCAUGGCUUGGUUUCUUCAUACAGGAACUGGGAUGAAGUCCAUGACGCCAUCUCUUUAACAACUCCUCGCGACGCCAAAACCUGAAAAGCAGAUGUAGAUAUGAAUUUAUUGUCUUUUCAUCUAUUACUUGUAAAACAAGAAACCUCAAUCUCUUGUAAACAAGCAGAACGAAAGUAUACAGAAAACUAGAAGAGAAUGUUGAAUGAACCUGCAAUUGUGAUCACCUUUGAAAGUUGAAGAGAGGAGAAAAGUAUCUCUACCUCUCUCUGUUCUUCAACUUCAAUGGGUUAGAAGCUGGGAGGGAUUAAAAUCACUACUUAAAGGACGUGAAACUGGCUCUUUAAUAACCAUAUUUGACCCUUCGCUGUAUUUUUUUAUUGACCAAGCCUUUUGCUUCACUGGCCUCCAGUUUUCUAGAUUAAAACGCAAGCUAUAGUACAUAAGGCUAAACCUGAACUCACAAAUCGAGAAAUAAAAACUAGAAACAAAUCAAACUAAAGAAGAUGAGAAUCAUCAUAUCAGUCGAAACCUUCAACACAAAAUGUCGAAUUGUUUAAUAAUAGUUGAUGUGUAGUAGCAAAGUCGGCGUCCGGUCUGUCGUUUGUGCCCGCACGUAAGAACAUUAAACCUCUGACUCUAACUCGUUUCUUCAUCCAAAAAUUCAACUCAUUGAUUGUUUAAUUUAUCUACAGAACUAUACCAAAAUUCAACUAAUAACAUUCUUUAGAAUGGUACUUCAUUUUUGUGUCCAAAUUCAUUUUUCUCUACUUCAUGGGAAGAUGUCCACAUAUACAUUUCUAUUAACAUUAAGCAUCUUAGGGCACACGCAGUAGUACAUGUGUGUCUUGGGUGUAAACAGUAUUAUAAUAUUAUAAUAAAGUAUUAUAAUAAAGUAAAGAAAGAGAGAAAUAGUGAGAGAGAUGAUAAUUUUUGCCUGUCUCCGACCGAGUUUUUGCCUGUCUCCAUUCAGCGCUGGCCACGUGCCACUUACACCCCUUGGAGAAAAGUUGCAAGUUUACACCCGUUGCCUCUCUCCAACCUUGUUUUUCUAUUAUUUUUGUUUUUUUUAUUCCUUACACCCGGGUGAAAAGUGCCCCACUGUGUAUGGUCUUAAUCAUUAAAAAUGGCAAGCAUAAUGUAUUGGUUAUUAUCUGUUUAAAAAGUUGGUAAUUACACAAAUUUACUAAAACUUUAGAUAAUGUGUUGCUAUGUCAGAAGUUGUUAUUGGUGUCAUGUUUUCUUGAACUUCAGCACUUAGCAACUCUGUACAGGUAGUCCAUUCUCCUUUGCCUUCCAUAACAAUAGCUUACUCACAUUACAAGUUAAUAUGACAAGUUGUUUCACAACUGUAACAUAAAAGAGUUGGGCCGUUUUUACUAAGGAUGCUAUAAGUUUGGCUCUGCGUUGCUUGUUUUCGGUAUAACCUUAACUUUAAGACUACGGUGGGUUUUGAUUUUCGUCUAAAAACAUGAGAUUUUGUGUCGAUUUCGUCUAAAAACAGAAAACUGCUAGAGCCAUUCCAUUUUCUGGAUAAUUUUUCAGAAACCGAACAAAGAGAAGAACUAAAUAAUAAUCAAAAGGGUCUUAUACCCAAACCAAGCAUCCAACAUAGGGGCAUAGAGAAAAUACGACAAAGACUUACAUAAGAUUAGUUCCACAAGCUAAAAUGCAUAAUAAAAAGACUCAAAAUGCAUACUAAAAAGUAAAAAGACAAACCGCUCAGGAUUCAUAGGCUUUGAAUAUCAUCUUUGCAGUUUCGUUCACGAGUCCAGACCUCUGCAAACAUAGCUCAAACUCCUUACCCUUGAGCUUCUUCCAUUUUUCCUCCACUUCUCUCUUCUCUGCUCCAUCCGCAACCUUUGCCCAAACCGCAGUUAUUGUGGAUUCAUCCAAACCACAAGAACUCUUAUUCUCUGCAUUGAAGAACGAUGCAAUCUCUCUACCAAUGGAGAGACUUGUGUUCACAACCUUUGUCUCUAUUUUCUCCGGUUUCUUCGCCUCUUCUUGUUGUUUCUUGGGAGAGGAAUGAGCAACUAACUUCAUCUCUUUCGGGGCAGGGGUUCCUCCAACUUUCUUCCUUGAUGAUUUAGAAGCCAAAACACCACUGCUUCCCCAAAUCUUUCUCGACAAUUCAAAGCCUUUCUGCUCAAUAUCUUUAGCAAAUUCAAUCUCAUCUUCACUCUUUCCCUUCUUAAGCGACUUCUUCACAGUGUUAUUAAACUUCUUCUUCAACCUCUGAAGUUUGGUAACGAUUUGGUUUUUGGUAGCAUUGAAAUCGAUCAACUUCUUAACAUAAAUGCAAAAAGCAUCAAUAUCCUCAUAAGGAUCUCCUUUGGUAGAUGUGAAAUCAAUAAUACCUUGAAGCAAGGCAAUCUCAUCAGCCUCGCUGAACAAUCUCUGAAACAUCUUCUUAGCAUCAUCUCCAGAAAUCUUCUUAACCUCAUCAUUUGUUGUCGGCUUCUUCACAUGCUCAGUCUCCGAUGUCUUGUGCUUCUUAAUAGCUUCAGAAGCAUGUUCCUUCAAAGGACGCUUAGCCGUUGAACUCUCAGGUACAGUCGCGGCAGAUCCAGACUUGUCUGGAAUUGGUUUGGUCACAAGAGGCAUCAGCUCCAUCGUCUUAGCAGGCUCCGAAUCGGAUUCGGACUCCGAUUCAUAUUCACCUUCAGAGUCAGAUUCAGGCUUCUUGGAAGACUCGUCUUUCUUCGAAACUUCAGCAGAAGACUCAGAUUCUUCUCCAGAUGAGCCAGAUUCCUCUUCUUCACUGGAAGUAGGAGGGUUGUCGACCACUUCCUCUGCCUUCUUCGGUGCCAUCGAAUACAGUUACGAGAGAGAGAGGAGACAGAGAUCUGCGGGAAGCUAGAGUCUUCUUCUUCAGCUUUUCUAUUUUCCCGUCGCCGUCGAUUUGCUUUGCUCUUAGGUUUUGUGAUUUUAGGUUAGCGUCGGGUUUUUGUUUUUUUUUUUCUUUUAAUUUAUUUUGUGAAUUCGAUAAUAGCCGAUCGAUUCUUUCAAGUUGGGCUGUCCAACGCGCUAACACGAACGGGCCUGAGCUAUUUUGACGAGUUUUUAAUAGACCAGUCCGUCGACAACUACACAAGUAACAUCAGAAUCCGUCUUAAGAGAGGCGAUGCUUCCUCCAUACAAUCAACGACACGUGUCCGUCUCUCUAAAAAUCUCAACGACACGUGUUCGUCUCUCUUGUUUACUCAAUUUUGAAUUAUUUUUGAUCAAAUAAAAGAAGAGAACUCAUCAAAAAAGUGGAAACCUAUGUUGCAUGGAAACUCUUUUCGAUGUCCGUUUCUCGUUUUCGAAACGGAAACUUUCCGGAAACACGAAAAACGUCACGAAAACGCGUUUUCUAAAAAUCUAUAUUUGGAAACACAAUGAAAACUCACGUUUCUAAAAUGGAAACGCGACAAAUCCUUUUUAUUGACUUUGGAAACUUAAUAAAUAAAAGUAGAAAAGAUUAAAAUUUAUAAUACAUAUAACUAAUUUUGGAAGACUCUUGAGUUUUAAGAUUUUUUUAUUGACAAACUAGAUUUGGAGACAUCUUUAUAUGGUCUACGAUGAAACUAAUGAAAAUAAGAAUAAAAAUGUUGAUCUAAAUUAAAUAUUUGAACGUGAACCUUUUAAUCUUUUUUCUUUUAGAAUUUUAGUUAAUCUAUUUAAUAUUUGAUGUUUUGGACUUGUAUUAUUUAAUUAAACCAUUUUUUAUAGUUUUAUGUUAAUGUUAUAUAUAUACAUAUAUUAUAUAUGUGUAUACGUUUCCAAAACGUUUCCAAUCCCUAAUUUUAGAAAAAAAUCGUUUCCCGUUUCCGAAACGUUUCGCUUCCACGUUUCCGUUUCCGUUUCCAUGCAACAUAAACGAAGACAACCUCCUUUGGAGAUGCUCUUGGUCUGUCUUAGAAAAAAAAGUUCAAACCCAUAAAUGUUCCAAUUAUAUGUUCCAAUCUCAAUUUAAACGCAAUUCCGUUUUCCUUGUGAACACAAAGAUUAGACAUAUAAACCAAAUUAGCUAGCAAGAAGAUCAGGAAACUUAUUUAAUUUGUGCUUGAUUUGGGUUGCAAAUUUUGAUUUAAGCAAGACCAAAAACACCGCCUCAAGAAACAUAAAAGAGAUUCCUUCAGCUUUAGUCUUCAGAGACCAUGACUACACACACUUUAUUCAAAGACAAAAAACAAAACAAAACAAAACAAAAACAAGAACAUAACAACCGACAACGUUUUAGUUGAUCUCGAUCUGACGAACAUCAUUUCUCUCUUGCUCUUUCAUCUUCGGAAUCACAACUUUCAAAACUCCGUUCUUCAUCUCCGCCUUAAUCUCAUCAAUCUUGUAAAUCUUCUCCGGCAGUCCAAUCCUGCUAGUGAAUCUCCGAUUACCGCCCUGAUCUUCUUCCUCGCCAUCAUCGUCUUCGUAUUUCCCUUCUCCUCUAAUCACCAGAGUGUCCUGCUCCAAAGCCAGCUUCACAUCCUCUCUGCUCAGCCCAGGCAUGUCGAUUCUCAGGUAAAGAGCAUCGUCUUUCUCUUUUAUAUCCCAACCACGACGAGCUCCUGAAGCUCCCAUGCCACGAGUAGCUGAUAACAGAGGAUUCUCCAUGAACUGGUCCAUCAGAUUCAGCACUUGACUAACGCUCCUCGUCGGCGAAAACGGAUCAAAGACAUCUGCACAAAAUCCAUAUCAAAAUUUUAAGAUCAAUGUUAGCUAAUCUAUGAUUUCUUACUAAAUUUUAGCUCCGUUAACAAGAGAAAGAUAUAGAUCUGGUUGAGUUACCUGAGAAGAAAUCACCACGGCGGCGAGGAACAGAGCGGCGAUCGAAAUCAACGCCUUGUCCAUUCUCGCCAUCGUCGUCGUAGCUCCUCACGGCGUUGGUGUUGAAGAGGCGAGAGGAAACGGAUGGACUAAGAACGCUACGGGAACGUGGAACAAUGGAAGAAGAAAGAAGUCUCUUAAGAGCAAGGGAAGAUGCCAUUUGUAGAGAAAUAUGAAGCUUUUUUGAGAAAGUUUUAACAGAGAGUAAGUAGUGUUUUAUCUGAGAACUGUGUGUGGCGAUAGUGGAGACAGAGGAGGUUUAUAUAUGAGUAAAGAGUGUUGAAGGUAGUAGAUAUUAUCAGGUGAGUGAAUGUUCUGGAGAGGUGGAUAUUUCUCUGGAUCGUUCUAGAGGUCCGUGGCUCCCAAGCUAAUGAGUGAAACAAAUAUAUUGUUUAUUAACGGGCCACGGCCCAUCGUAUUAGGCCAGGUUUACUAGAUUUAUGGUCAACAAGUCAAAUGACCCUAGAUCAUGGAUUCAUGGUACAUGAAUGAAAACGACCAAAAGCCGAGGCGGCCACCAACCACCGAACGUGGGAAGGUCUGGUUUGGGCAAACAUUCGGAAAGAACAAAAAGACUCGGAUAUUGGAGAAGGCAAAUAUAUAUUGGUAUUGAGGUUAAAAAAUUAUUUUUGGCCUAAUGACUAAAACAGUUUGACGACGCUCUUAAGGUUUAUUUAUUCAACGUAGACUAGAUACCAUAGGGCCGUUUUGAAUUGGACCUUUUAAGUUUUGAUUUUAUAUUAAACCGCCAUGUUGUUUAGACGAAAGAUAAAACAAAAGACGUGUCUCUAGCUAAGCUGACCUUCAUAUGCUUUGACAUUAUACAUGUAUUAUGAUCUCUUCUUCUUUUUUUCUUUCGAAAAAAUACACUCGAAUUUAGAAAUAUUUUGAUAUGUAGACUGUAGACACACAUACAUGCAGAAGUGUUCUAAUUACCUGCGCCUACGUGCUGUCAACUCCUACAAAUCCCCAACCGUUAUCUAAGAGAUUAAAUAUACCCCGGCCCUAACUAUAUAAUAUAUCAUAAUUGUUCAAACCAGUGUAUGUAGAAUAGACGAUUCCUUGAACCAUAUAAUUUCAGCUUCAUAUAUAUAAGAUUCCUAAUGUGAAACGAAAACAAAUAUACGAGUCUUGCAUCAUAUAGUUAAUCGUCGUCAAAUAUUAAAGAAGAAAAUGGCAACCACCAAAACCACCGGUCGGAGACUCCGUCCUCCGUCGCCCAAUAUUAACCGGAGCCGGACUAUAAGCUCUUCGAUCUCUCUCCCAGUGUCCUUAAACGCCUCGUUAUCGUCUUCUACUUCUUCCUCCUCUUCCUCUUCGCCAUCCAAUUCAAGCAAGAGAGUGAUGAUAACCAGAUCACACUCUACAACGAGAUCAUCCAGGCCCACCGGAUCAUCCAACCCCAAAUCCGGCGAAAAUAUAAUCCCGGCGAGAAACAGCGCGUCAAGAUCUCACGAGAUAAACAACGGUAGAAGCAGAGAGGCGUUUGCUCAGUACUUAGAUCAACGUGAGCGUGGUAGUCCUCGUAAUAACGCUUCAUCUAGAGGGGUAAAACCGGGAGCGAGCUCACCAUCGGCGUGGGCGUUGUCCUCAGGGAGAGUUUCGACGAUGAAGACAUAUCUGUCCAGCUCAGCUCCGGCGAAUUCAAUGUGCAUGACGCCGCCUGAAUCACCGGUAAGCAAGGCCAAGAUAAGAAGCGGUGGCGGUGGAGCUGUGGCCGGAGUUUUGAAGUACUUCAUGGCGCAGAAGAAAGUAUCUCCGGUCCAAGAGGAGGAUUAUCACCGGUUUAGGGUUUUGCAAAACAGAUUACUUCAAUGGAGGUUUGUUAACGCAAGAACUGAAGCCACUAUGGCUAAACUUAAGAUCAACGUUGAGGUACAAAACUAUAUGAAAAAUAUAUAAAUUAAUUUGUAUCUUAUAAAUAUCUAUUAAUUUGUUUUUGUGAAUGGUUUCAGGAUCAGUUGUUUUGGGUUUGGCUAAGGAUAUACAAAAUGAGGAACUACGUAGUGGAAAAUUUGAUUGAAGUUCAAAGGCUCCGUCAAGAAAUCAAACUAGGUGAAGUUCUCAGCCUCCAAAUGCCUUUACUUAAUGAUUGGUCAAAAUUAGAAGCAAAAAACUCCGAAGCAUUGAGCAAGCUAACUCGAAAACUCCAUGCUUUGUCUGUCCGUUUACCCUUCGUACAUGGUGCCACGGUUAGAAACUUUCUUUCGUUCGGAAAACAAUUGGUUUAUAAAAAUUUUGUGUGUUAGUCAAGAAAACGGAAAAUAAUAUUAUGUAAGUUACAGAUGGAUGUGGUGUCGAUACAUGAAGAAAUGGUCAUAGCUAUACAAGUCAUGGACGAGAUCGAAGACGUCAUUAUCAAGUUUCUCCCACGAGUAAGUCCACCUUAUUUAUAUACAUCUUUUUUUUCCUAACUUUGUUUUAUAGAUGCGUAUAUAAGAAACUAAUUUAAGAAUGUCCGGGUAAUUAAAUAUCAGCAGGUUGAAAUAAUCCUAUAUGAGCUGACAGAAUUGAUCGGCUUGUUUAAUCAAGAAUUGUUAUAUUUUGAAGAAAUGGACAAGAGUCUUUUCUCCAUUCCUCUCUUUGCGGUAAAAUCAAUCAUUACUUUCAUUAUAUUUAAUUUGACCGGUCCGGUUUAAAUCUUAUACGUGGAAGCUGCAAUGGCUAAAUUGGUGAGAUCUUUGUUUUAACAGGCGAAGGAGAGGAGUUUGAAGGUCCAUAUUCUCCAGAAGAGUGAAGAACAGAGAAAAAAAAAGUUGUAUAAUAACUCAAAAGUUAGGACAUGUAAUUAAAUGUUAAUAACAUUGAACAUUUUGCAAACUGGAAUGCUGCUUGUUUACCAAAAAAAAAAAACUGGAAUGCUGCUACUUCUAGUUAUUUAGUUCAACCUAUCCAAAAUAAAUUGUUGAAAUAUAUAAUGAUAACUUUGUGAUAUAUAUGAAUGAUUGAAGCCAUGUGUAUAACAAAUUUCGUAAUGCAAUUUCUACAGUACCUUAAUGAAAAUAUACUUAUACAAAAAUGAGAUAUCAAAUAAAAAAAAAUGUCCAUCCAAUCACAUACACAUAUAAAUGUUUUACACUUCUCACCAAGAAUGUUUAUCAAUAAUAAUUGUAAUUUCCAAAGAUAUAGAUAUAAAGAUUGACAACAAAGUUAAUAAAAGCGCUAUUAGGUCAAUUGGUAAUUCAGCUUAUCAGAACUGCAGAGGUCUCGGGUUCGAAACCCUCUUUUCCUAAAUCCCCAAUUUUUUUUUCCCCCGUUUCCGAAUCUCUUGCCGGCGGGCGUUUCCCAUGAAUUCAGGCGACCAAGUUCCCCGGAAGUCGAAGGUAACCUCUACUGAUUCCAUCUUCUUGUUCUCUCCUUGGUAAUUUCAUCUCAAAUAUAGAAAAAAAUUGCGUAUCACUGACCAUUUCUCUCCGUUCCAUUUCGCGGCAGCGGAGGUUCCAACCAAGACCUCCGAAGCCUUCUCUCCGGCCGAUUGCUCCAACCUCAAAAACGUAAUUCUUUUUUUCCCUCGAUCAUUUCUUGUUUAUGCUUGUAUAUAUCUAUAUCUGCUUUAUACAUGUAAAAGCUUUAAACUUUUUUCUCUGAAACACAGCGAAGCUGAGGCUGAGGAGGAAGAGAAUAGAAAAGCAGCUCGACAAUUAGCCAAACGUAUCGGCGUAUGUAGUGAAUCUUCUCACUUCUAAUAUUUUCUUUCCUCUUAAUUUCAUGGAAAUUUUUUGUUAAACAGUUAUUAGUUUAAUCGAAAUUUCCCUGAUUUAGAUUAUGAUAUAUACAAAAUACCAAAACGGUGUGCUUUUCUUUUUGGUCUGACCUUUAAUAGUUUUGAAUCUCUGCCUCAUUUCCUUUGCUAGCUUUUGUUGAUUGCAUCAAUUUAACUACCUUGUUAAUGAUGGCUUAGUGACCAUGAAAUGAGUUGGUCUAUGACACCUAACAUGUUGAUUUGUAGCUUAUAACUGGCUUAGUUGUUAUCUCCAUCACUUAAUCCAAAUGCUCAAUGUUGAAAACUUAAAACUUUUUUGUGUUGUUGUUGCAGACUGGCCAGAGGAGACCCAAAACCGAAACGAAAGGUAUGUAUAUCCAUGUUAUAUGUGUAUUCGCAUUCUUCAUUUUAUCGAGUUGUGUUUGAUCUCAUUUCUGUAAAUGAGUUAUCGGAAAACCAUGUGUGAGGAAGGUGAUAGUAUGUAUUGUAUUAUAGCAGCGAUCGUUCUUGAAUAGCUUUUGAAAUCUUUGCAGCUUCUUCUCCUGAAGUUGCAUUCCAACCAAGCUUGUCAUCACUUGCAAUAAGGUCGUUUAGUGUUCCUAAAGAAGAUGACAAGCCCAGUUCUGAUGUAUAUCCCUCUUCUUCUGCUGGUAUUCUUCCUCCUGUUUCGUCUAUUACUCCCCAAGAAGAUGAAGAGGAGGUUCAUAAUUUGGUUACAAGAACUGGGGAAGACUACGUUGAACCUUGGGUAACCAGAAUCUUUCGAUACAAGUUGAUUUUCUCUCCCAGUUUCUCUUGUGUUGAUUUAUGUGACAUAAGGUUUGGCUCAUUUUAUUAUGUUCCAGGAUUAUAGAAACUCAUACUAUCCUACCGUUCUUCCAUUGAGAAAGCCUAACUCUGGUGACCCAGGUAUUCUCGCUCCCGGCUUUGCAAUAGCUUUACGCCAACUAUUCAGAUGUGAAUGUGUUUGCUCUGUAAAAUGCCUGCAGUUUUCCCCUCUGUCUGUAAACUGAAACCUACUUCUUGUGUUGUUAGAACUUCUUGACCAGGAGGAAUUUGGGGAAGUGGCUAAACACCGUGAUUAUGAGGAGAACACCAUCAACUCAGCAGAAGAACUCGGUCUGACAUCGGUAAUAAACUUGUAAACAAAUUUAUGUUGACAGACAUGUAAACUCUUCACUGAGUUUGACUGAUUGUAUUUUCUGAGCUCCAUGCAGGUGCAACACUGCAAAAAUCAGAUGUUUUUCUUUAAGAUCCCGGACUGUCUCCCUGUAAUGAAGCAAUCGACAGGAGCAACCACCAAGAGAUCAGUACGGGAGUAUAGUUCAGGGAGAAGCAACCCAUUUGAAGGUUUACCAGAGGGAUUCAUGGGCAAAAUGCUGGUUUACAAGAGCGGUGCUGUCAAGUUGAAACUUGGAGAUGUCCUCUUUGAUGUAAGUCAUUUUCGUCUCGUCACUAUUAGAUGUGAACCCACAUAUCUGAUUCUGUGUUGGAAUCACCUCUGCUUGUAGCCUCUUCUUCAUCUCUUUUAACUCUCGGUCCUAUGCAUAUAUGCAGGUCUUACCAGGUCCGAAUGCAAAAUUCCAUAAUGAUGUGGCAGCAAUCGACACCAAAGGGAGGAACUGCUGUCGCAUUGGUUCUUCAGCCAAGUUUGUGACUGUUACUCCCGAUGUUGAGGCUCUUUUGAACUCUGCUUCAGACAUGGAAACACACAAGUGAAGGUUGUUCUGGAUAUAGCAGGUCCUGUUCAUACAAGGAUGUGAAAAGCGUAGUAUUGACCACUUAGAUUCUGUAACUACAACCUAAUCUUCAGCCAUGAUCGUAAAAACUCUUCUUGUUGUCUUCUUCUGUAGUAAGAGAUUCACAUUCGGGAUAAAAGAAAGCUUUUAACAUUUUGACACAUUCAGAGUUCUUAUUAUAGAAAUCUUCUAAAAUGUCAACAAUGGAGAACAGAACCAAAGAUUAUCAAACAAACCACAAUAUGACCUGAAACAAAGCUAAACAAGCAGCAUGAUGAAGACCAUAUGUAUUGUCGGCUAAUUUGAAACGAUCAAGACUUGUUGCAGGCUCGGGACACCAUCACGACCAGCAGAACCACGAUGGAGAGCAGGACCGAAGUCGUCAGCCUUUCCUCGAGCCAAUUGUUGAAUUUGGCAUCUUUCCCCUUGUUGUAAACACCAUCACCAUUGUAACAAUUGAAGAGCUCGGUCACGACCUUUGUUAUUUUCACAAACACUUCUGUGGCCUUAACCAUUGUGUUGUCAAAUACCCACUUUAUGAAAUCCACUGCUGCGUUAUUCUCCCCAGGAGUGUCUUCGGAACUCUCCUCAUCUGUUAUAAGAAAAAAUAGAAACACAGGACUAGGCAAUGAGUGCCCUGAGAGGAGUUUCAAAUGAAAAGGCUUAUAUUGAUAAAUUCAUUAUCCCUAUACCUUGACUUAUGCCAUUGUUGUACAAGUCCCUAAUCUCUCGCACCACAUUGUUGUUCAUCACCGCCUCCCAGACUGCUUUGUCAGACGACAAUGAUACUACCAUUUUCUGCAUAAAAUGUGAAAAGCCCUUGAUUCAUGUACCAUGAUAUACAAUGAAAUGACCAACCAUGAUUAUUUUCGAAGACAGACACAUAAAGAAAAUGGAUUUCAUUUAUCUAAACCCAUGUUAAGAAUUCAAAUAUUUGUUAGGUGGAUAUAAAACUUAAAACCCUGAGCAUCUAUUUCUUCCCUCAAAACUUGCCGGAUCAAACACAUAGUUAAUAAGACAGAAACUUGAGCCAAGUGUAAUCAAGAAAACAAAAGAAAGAUCACCUGGACAGAUGGUUCGGUUCGUAGUAGGUCAAAAGCAUUGUAAACCUGAUCAUAAGCAUGAGGCUGUAAGGUUCUUGAAUGGCAUAGUUGCAUUGAAGGCUCCAUCCAGUCCGAAUCCGACCCAAACGAAGGAACUUGAUGAACCAUCCCUGUGGCUAUAGGGCUCUGGUUUUCACCACCACUUUCCGGAUAGCACUCGUAUUUGUCUCUUACCAGCUGAGUAUAGGAACUAGCAUCGAAAACCCUUCGAGAAACAAGACUCAACCAUUACUCCAACACGUCAAAAAAAACCCAAUUAUUAUGAAUAAACCAGCAAACAACUUUUGAAAGUAUUUAAGGUUUUAGGUAGUUUAUAGUACAAACAACUGUGUGGGGUCAAAUUGACACGGGGACACAGCUGAAAGAGUUUCAAACUUCUUCAAGAUCAUCAGAUCAAGACAAUUCCAUCCAUAUCAGAAAAAAAGUUUAAAACUUUUAAACACUAUAGCAGUCCAUGACAAUUCUCGUGGAACUAAUACCUACCACUCAAAGCUGAUCCAUUUAUGAGAUUACUUGUCAAUAAUUUCGACAAAACUCAAAGCUCAAAUAGUCACAUCAAAACAAUCACACAUUUUCAAGUGAAAUGAGAAAAGAAAAGAGAUUUGAUUACUGCUGGAGAGCAGAAACAGCAUCUUGGACUUCGUCGACAGAAGGAACAGAGCCAAACAGAGAAUCGUCUUCUUCCUCAGAAACCCACUCAAAAUCCUCAUAACCUCCGGAAUUAACAAAGGAAAAAGCGCCGCCUUUCCAUCCGGAGGUUGCAGCCACCGGAAGAUUCAACAACAACCCUGAAGCCGCGGAAAUCGUAAGAUUAUUCGACCCAGAAGAAGAAGAAGAAGAAGAUCUCUGUUUAUGGACAUGCGAAACAGAGGCCGGCGACGACGUGGACGAGGAUAAUGAAGAAGCAAAGGGAUCUUGAAUACCACCGUUGGCUACGCCGGUCCUCGUCAUCGCACGACCGGCGGCGCGUAACAUACCACCGCCGCCACCCAUAGGCCCUCUUCCACCACCAAACAUAGAGAUCACUAUCAAAUUGUUUUUUCUUUACUCAAACGACAGGUUGCGUAUGUUUACUCGGUGAGUUUGUCUUUUGGUCUACCGAGUCGAUGAAUGGGUCCGAUGCUAUUUCUUAGGCUUUUUGCUUGAAGCAGUUUUGAUUGUAUCGAGGAAGUGGAUAAAGAUUUAUAAAUGCAAAAUGGCUUUUUAUGACUUUCUUUCCUUUGCUUUGGUCCUUCUUCUCCACGACACGCUUAUCCAUUUACUCUGUUUUUUUCUUUUUCAUUAAAAUACUACUCCACUAUUGUUAUAAUAAUUGUUUUCCAUACUGGAUUUUUUUUUUUUUGACGGCCAUACUGGAUUAAUUGAUACAGUAUAUAAUAAAAAUUGAUAUCUCAUUUUUUUGCUUAAUCCAAAAUGAUAUUUGCAACAUACAGAAUAAAAAUUGAUAUCUGAUUUUUUUGCUUAAAAUUAGAGGUGAACAGUUGACAAAAAAAAAUUAGAGGUGAACAUGUAGAUCAAAUUAUAUCGUAAACUUUCAUAUUCAAUUUUGGAUAAUUUAAUUUGAACGUGGUUAAAAACCUAAAACCAGUACGUAAUAGUAGUAGUUUUCUUUUUUUCCGUAUAACAUGUAUGAGUUUAGAACUUUAGAUAAACCAAAAAAUAUAAGUAGGUCUUUUUCAUUUUGAGUUCCGGUAGCGUUUUCAGUUGGAUUUGACUUUACUUGAUUGAUUUUUAAUCCAAAUUACUGGAUUUUUAACAUAUACUGUAUAUAGUUAUAUACUGGAGUAUAUAUUUUUCUUCUGUUCGAGAAUGUCGUCAACGUACAUAAGUUGAUAAUUUGAUAUCCGUAUGUAUCUGACAGGUGGGUAGUAAGUUUAUUACUCGCUAAUAUGUUUUCAUUUUCAGUCUUUGUAGACUAUUAAAAAAAAAAAUCGUACACAAAGGUUAAAAUUGUUGGAGAUACAAUCCAAGUCCCACAUCGGAAGUUUGAUGGGACAAUCAAUAAUAUAUAAAGGGUUAGGGCCAAUCCACUAAUUGCCAAUUGUUUUUUAGUUGGAAGCCCAAAAUUAGCCUAAAUUUAACAAAAAUACAGUGUUUUCUAGUUAAAUGUAAAAUUUGGAAAAACAAGUAAGAAUGGGUUAUUUUUGUAUUUGAACCUUCAUGAGUCAUAUUCAGCAAUUAAUAAUAUUUAUAUCUAAUUCAACAUUGUAAAUAUCAUAUUUAAAAGUUCUUCCACAAUCAAAUUUUCAUCGUCGCCAUAUAAUUAGAGUUUCAACGAUUUAGGGAAUCAAAGUACUACAGAAAAGAUGUAACACUCGUCUUCGACUUCGUGUAUUAAAAGAAGAUAUUGACCACAAAAAAAACAAUCGUAAGAAAAUACCCAUGUGCAAACUUCUUAUUCAUAAAUACAUAAUCAUUGCUAUUAGCUGAUGUCUUUUAUCCAGUUUCCAUCACAGAAAAUUCUGCCUUUUUCCGUUCAAUUCUUUUUUGUUAAAAAGAGAUCUCUCAACUGUUUUUUUAUAUAUAUAAAGUCCGAAUAAUUUUGGUCCGUUAUGCAGCAUAAUUAGAGAAUAUUAUUUAGUGAAAAUUAAAACAAUGUUGAUGUAUCUUCUUACAUUUUUUACAGUUUUGUUAAAAAAAAUCUUUUGUUUUUGUAUCAAACAAAACGAGAAUGGAGAAAAUAACCAUUGACCUGAAAGACAUUCAAAAUACACAAUAGCAAUAUGAAUAUCAGACUCAAUAGCAUGAAAACUCCAAAACCAAUUUGAAAGUCGGAAGACAUUUCGUACGGAAAAGGGAGUUUCAACAUAAGAAAAUAAAAAAAGAUUUUAAUUUUCUAGAGAUAUUUAAUAAUUAAAUAAUGUGUCCUAAUCGGAUAUUUCAUGAGAUAGAUGACUACAAUGGACGAAGAUUUUAGCGUGGAGACAAGACAAGUUUAAAAUCGAGGUUUUCCACCUUUAUCAUAUCAUUAAGGAGACCAUAACAACAAACAAUGACAUGCUAUUCGUUUUCCAUAAGUAACUUAAUGUUUUUCGCUUCUACUUUUGCCGGUCCCAUAGUCCGGUACCAUAUUUUUACUAUCCUCUCCGUUUUAAUUUAGUUAUCAUUUUGGGACUUAAAAUUUAUCACAUAAUAGUUGUCGUUUUAGAUUUUUAAUGCAGAUAUUUUAUAAAAAUUCUAGUUUUAUCUUCACAGUUUUAAUGUUUUGACCAAUAAAAUAAUUUAGAGAAUAAAUUAAACAAAAAUAAAAUAGAAAAAUUGAUUGUUUUCUUAAUUCCUGUACAAAGACCUUAAAUGUCAAAUAAUUCAAAACAAGAGGAAUAUUUUGUUUCUUUUCCUUCCUUUUCUUCUUCUUUGCACCAUUUAACAUUGUGAUCUGGCCCAAUUACUAAUUCGGACAUAUCAGGCCGAAACAUGUUAAAACUCGUAAACCGGCGUUUUAAUUGAACCGGCCAAAUCACGUUUGAAAUGCUAACCAAUGUUUAGUUGAACUCUACCAAAUUCUUGUACCACUCCACUAUGCAUAAAGGGUAGGAGACAAAAAGACGUGAGGUCAUGCGUGCAACUAUGGCGUUGAGGAAUGUAAUUAAAUACCAAAUCAUUAGAGAAUUAAGAGAUAAAACUAUGAUUAAAUUAAUAGCCAAGGCCUAAGGUUGGAGAAAACUUCAUUCUUUUAACACACACUCCUUCUGUCACUCCUCUGAUAAUGAAGAAAAGAGUAUAUACCCAGCACUGAUCCUCCUUUGACCAUUAACAUGACCAACUUGUCUCAUUUUCUUAUUAUUUUCGGUUCUUCUUUUCAAAUCUUUAUAAGAUUCUCUGAUUAUAAGAACCCAUUGAUUUGUUUGUAUCUGAGAUUAGCAGCACCAACGUGGGUCUUCUUCUUCCUCGGCUGCUCUCUUUGAUGGAAGCUUCCACCAUUUCUUCAUCAAGUUUGAGAUGUCCAAUGCCGAAUUAAGAGGCAAAACCCCAUUUCUGUCUUGGGUUUGACUUAAAGUUGCCUCCUUUAAUAACCAGGUAGGUUCUAUUUCUGGGUUUCUUGUUUAAGUUUAUGCCCUGAAGAUGGUCCCUUUGAUUGACUUGGUUAAUGCUUCAUAGUCUUGCGGAUUCUCUGCAAUUGCAAUGUACUCAAAGUUGACAUUUUUCUUGGAAAGUUGAGUUUUUUAACUUUAUAAGAAGCUAUCUUCUAUGGUCGUUGAGUGUUAUUGCUUUACGAUCCUUAAGGUCGUCCAAAUUAGACUCUGAGACAUUUCACUAUCAACGUUAUAAGAGUAUCUCAUGAUCCAUUGGAUGUUCAAGAUCUUGUCAUUUGUCAAUACUUGGUUAUCAUUUGCCAUUUCUGUUUGAUGAGUUGAUAUUAAACAUCCAGUUAUGUGAGUUCAGAGUAUAUUUACUCUGUUGAUUCCCACUGACUGGAUUUUUAGAUGGCUUUACUUAGCUUUCCCUUUCUUUCAUGUUAUCUCUACUUUUGGAACAAAACACUCUUUUUAGACCAUUGUUUUGCAGUGUCUGAAAUGGUUCUAUUGUGCAGGGUAACUAUCAACAAGAAGAAAAAAAGAUAAACAAUGAGUAGAUCACCAGACAAUCUUGCCCUUCCUCCUCCUCCUCCUCCUCCCCCAUCUCGUACCGUCGUUGUGGCUCUAAGUGGGAGCAGUAAAAGCAAAUAUGUAGUUACAUGGGCGCUCGAAAAAUUUGCUCCUGAAGGAAAUGUUGGCUUCAAGCUACUUCACAUCCAUCCAAUGAUUACUUCUGUACCUACACCAAGUAAAGCUCCAACUAUGACUUGUAUUUCUGUUUCUUUCUUGUACUCAGGACUUCUUGUGUUUUCCUUGUUUCUAUUUGGUAUUGUUGUGUAAAACAAAACUAAGACUUAUUGUAACUGAUAAAAGCCUGAUGUACAUUUCUUGCUCCUUCUCAAGUGGGAAAUGCAAUCCCGAUUUCCGAGGUAAGAGAUGAUGUAGUAACUGCGUUUAGACAGGAAAUACUGUGGCAGUCUGAAGAAAUGCUUAAACCUUUCACAAAAUUGUUUGUGCGGAAAAAGGUAUUUCCUUUGGUAUAUAAGAUACCUUAUGUUUUCUAAGAUCAAAAACUGAAGGUUACAUGAACUCAUUGAAUUACCUUAACGAAAGGUUGCAGUAGAAGUUCUUGUGAUCGAAUCAGAUAAUCUGGCAGCCGCAAUAGCUGAAGAAGUGACUCGGGAUUCAAUAGACAGAAUUGUCAUUGGAGGCUCAUCCCGUAGUUUUUUCUCAAGGUACACUACCACCCUGCUGCUAGCUUUCGACAUUUGUUCUUUCUGUUUCUGGUACCAAUGAAUCUGUUUUGAAAAUUCCAGGAAAGCUGAUAUGUGCUCGGCGAUAUCAGCUUUGAUGCCGAACUUUUGUACAGUCUAUGUUGUUUCAAAAGGAAAAUUGUCAUGCGUCCGACCAUCAGACUCAGACGGAAAUGCUACUAUAAGAGAUGAUGGUAGUGAGAGAACUAAUUCUUCAAGCGGUUCUUCUGGUCCCACCUCAGGUCCAUGACUCAUCAAUGUAUUUGUGUGAAUACUCUACUAGAAAUGGUGUGUAUAUCUAAUUUUGUUACCCCAUUUUCUCUUCUAGAUGUAAUGUCAAGUGUGCAUGACUCUCAAUCUCGUGCUCUAUCCCUUCCGGUCAGGAGAAUGCAAAAUUUCCCUACAAUUGCAAGACAAGCAUCAGUUCCAAUGGAAACGAGUUCUGUUGGCUCGGAUGAAACCAGGUGCAUGUCUUUGGAUGCAGAGGAAGCUAGAGAUGUUUCAAGUAUCAAUAGAAGCAGCACGGAUACUACAUCACGUUGGACUCCUCGGCUUAGAGAUUACGAGGAGAGAAAAGAAGCUAUGAGUUCUUCUUCUAGCAACCGUGAAUACGGGAAUAUUGGUAGUAGAUUUAGUUGGACUGGCAUGGGGGUCGAUAAUACGCACUCUCGGGCUUCUCAACAAGCUUCCAACAUGUCUGAUGCUCUAAGUGAACAAUCUUAUACAGACAGCCAGGUAUAAAAUGCAGUUUUAAUUUCGAUAUUGUCUUGUGAAUCAGAAAAAUAUAAGGUUUUUUGUUCAGGUAAACCUAAACUUUGAGGUUGAGAAGUUGAGAGCUGAGCUUAGACACGUUCAAGAAAUGUAUGCUAUGGCUCAAACCGAAACUUUUGAUGCUUCUCGAAAGGUGAAGGCCUCAUGAUCUCAUAUAUCUUUGCAUUUGAUGAAACUUAUUAAAUUGUGCUCAAUGCUUUUUUGAAAAUGUUUCAGCUUGGUGAGCUUAACCAACGUCGGUUAGAAGAAGCCAUAAAGCUUGAAGAGCUAAAACUGAAGGAGUACGAAGCUCGGGAGUUAGCAGAAAGGGAAAAGCAGAAUGUUGAGAAGGCGAGGAGAGAUGCAGAGAGCAUGAGAGAAAGAGCGGAGAGAGAAAUUGCGCAGAGAAGAGAAGUCGAGAGGAAAUCCGCACGUGAUACUAAAGAGAGAGAGAAGCUCAAGGGCACUCUCGGAUCUCCUCAGCUUCAAUAUCAGCACUUCGCUUGGGAAGAAAUUAUGGCUGCCACUUCAUCAUUCUCAGAAGAGCUGAAGAUCGGAAUGGGAGCUUACGGAGCUGUUUACAAGUGUAAUCUGCAUCAUACAACUGCAGCUGUCAAAGUUUUGCAUUCUGCUGAAAGUCGACUGUCCAAACAAUUCCAACAAGAGGUAUAGAAGUAGGCUUGAGCAUUCGGUUUCGGUUUUUGUGCUGAUCCCUUUAUGGAAGUUUAGUUUUAAUUCUUGUGGAAAGUCAUCUCUGUUCUAAGAAGCUGCAUUUUAUUUAAUCUCCCUGGUAUCUCUACUUUGCAGCUCGAAAUCUUGAGCAAGAUUCGGCACCCACACUUGGUUCUCCUUCUAGGAGCGUGCCCGGAGCAAGGAGCUUUAGUUUAUGAAUAUAUGGAAAACGGUAGCUUGGAGGAUAGACUGUUCCAGGUCAACAACAGUCCGCCACUCCCAUGGUUUGAGCGGUUUAGGAUAGCUUGGGAAGUCGCAGCGGCUCUUGUCUUCCUCCACAAAUCAAAGCCUAAACCGAUCAUUCACCGUGAUCUUAAACCUGCAAACAUCUUACUUGAUCAAAACUUUGUCAGCAAAGUUGGAGAUGUCGGACUUUCAACGAUGGUUCAAGUCGAUCUUUUAUCAACUAAAUUCACUAUAUACAAACAAACAAGCCCCGUGGGAACAUUAUGCUAUAUUGAUCCCGAAUAUCAACGCACUGGAAUGAUAUCAUCGAAAUCAGAUGUCUAUUCCUUUGGAAUGAUUGUUCUUCAGCUUCUCACAGCAAAACCUGCUAUUGCAUUGACACAUUUCGUUGAGAGCGCAAUGGAUAGUAAUGAUGAGUUCCUCAAGAUCUUAGAUCAGAAAGCGGGUAACUGGCCGAUUGAAGAAACCCGGGAAUUGACCGCAUUAGCUUUGUGUUGUACAGAGCUACGCGGAAAAGAUAGGCCUGAUUUAAAAAACCAGAUUCUUCCGGCGCUAGAAAACCUGAAGAAAGUAGCUGAAAUGGCAAGGAACUCACUUUCGGGCGUAUCGACACAGCCUCCCACUCAUUUCAUCUGCCCAUUACUAAAGGUAACUCUAUAUGAAACCUUGUUCAAAAAUGUUGAAACAUCACAUCCUGUUAUUGUGUGUUGUGAUGAAAAUGUGAGAGCAUGUGUGUAUAAUAAUAAUGCAGGACGUGAUGAACGAGCCGUGCGUUGCAGCUGACGGGUACACAUAUGACCGUCGUGCGAUAGAGGAGUGGCUUGAGGAGCACGACACAUCGCCGAUGACGGAUUCACCAUUGCAUAGCAAGAACCUAUUGCCAAAUUAUACUCUUUACACAGCUAUCAUGGAAUGGAGGUCUACACGAUAGUAAGCCAAACUUGUGUAGCGCUGUUCUGGAUAUAUAAAACGGCAAGACGUUCUCAGACCGUCCCUUUCUUUCAAGCGAUGAUAUUGCUUUGUACUUACGAAAACGAAACCUUGAAUAAUCAAUCUUGUAAUCCAACAAUUAUAAAAUUAGAAGGAGAUGGUCUUAUUUGAUUCACAACGGUUUAUUCGGAUCCAUCCGUUAAUUUGACUCCAAAUAUUAAGAAGACAGAACAAAACCAUUGCCUUAAAUCUAUUUAUUUUCCUUUUUGGUAUUUUGGUCUCGAAACAGAACCUUUCUCCGAUAAUCCUCUCUCAUUUCUCCAUUGAAAAAAGGGACCUUGAGGGGAAAGGUUUUACUGUUUCUAGGGUUUCUAUAUUCCAUUUCCUCAUCAUUGGAGAAUGGAAAUUCUCCUCUUCUCUCUGAUUUUUCUUCAGAUUUCGGUUAUGUCCUGAAUCUCUUGAAGAUUUUUUUUUUUUUUUUUUUUGUUAAAGUUGAUUCUUGAAGACCCAAUUGCAAAAAUUUCAACUUUUUUUUUUUUUUUUUGUUUUAAUUUUCUCUGAGCGUUUCUGGCAAUAUACAAUGCGGAUUUUCGUGAAUCUCCUUCUCUUCUCCUUGUGUCCUCUCGCGUUCUCGAAUGAAAACUCCAGCUCGUAUCUCAUUUCGCGACCAUUGAUCUUCGAGACCCAGCUCAAGAACAUGGACGACAAUGUCAAUCUACAUUGCACGAGCUGGAGAUUCGCGGCGGAGACAAACAAUCUCGCUCCAUGGAAAACCAUUCCAGCUGAAUGCGCCGAUUACGUUUAUCAUUACCUGAUGGGUGAAGGUUACGUCGUCGAUGUGGAGAGAGUCUCCGAAGAGGCUAAGCUCUACGCGAGCAGCUUCCAAUCUAACGCUGACGGGAAAGAUAUUUGGAUUUUCGAUAUUGAUGAGACGCUUUUGUCGAAUCUUCCUUAUUAUAUGGAACACGGUUGUGGGUAAUAAAUAUAUCUUUUUAUCUUUCAUUUUACAACAUCGCUAUAAAAUUUGGUUUCUUGAUAACUAUAUAGAUGAAUUUGUCUUUUUAUUGUGUCGAAAGAGUAAAGAUUUGAGGUAUGUGUUGUUGUUGUCUGUCUUUUUUCUUUGCUUGUUUGUCUGUGUUCCCAAAUGUGAAAUCUGUCUUCUUUUGUUGAAUUACCUAUUUACCAGUAUAUGUGUUCUGUGUUUGGGAAUUUGCAGGUUGGAAGUUUUUGAUCAUUCCAAGUUUGAUAAGUGGGUGGAGAAAGGGAUAGCACCUGCCAUAGCACCAAGCUUCAAGCUUUACCAAAAGGUUGUAGAUUUGGGGUACAAAGUUAUCUUGCUUACAGGGCGUAGAGAGAACCACCGGGUUAUCACUGUUGAAAACCUGCGCAAUGCCGGUUUCCAUAACUGGGACAAGCUUAUUCUGAGGUAAAGCAACUCUACUUUCAGCUUUCUUGGGCCUCCAUUACAAUGUAGCUCAUACAGUUUGUAUCCAAUUCUUGAUCUUGAUCGUAGUUGUUGUAACAUGACAUUAUUUGAUGACAUUAUUUGAUAUUGGAUGAUUGACGCUUUGGUUUGCUGAUUUAUUGUUGUUAACAGAUCGUUGGAUGAUCGGAACAAAACAGCGACCAUGUACAAGUCAGAGAAGAGGGAGGAGAUGGUGAAAGAAGGGUAUAGGAUCAGAGGCAAUUCAGGUGACCAAUGGAGUGAUUUGUUGGGCUCUGCAAUGUCAGAAAGAUCCUUCAAACUUCCAAAUCCAAUGUAUUAUAUCCCCUGAAGGGAUCAACUAGAAAGCGAAUUAAUCAGAGCAAUUCAGGUUACCAAUACGAGCAACCUACUGUUUUUGAUGUUUUGGUUGCCAUGUAAUCACUUGCUAUAAGUAUAUGUACUAAUGACUGCAUCAGCUUGAGUGUUUAAAUUUACCCUUAAAUUUAUAGCUUCUUGAAAAGCUUUUUAAGCUUAAAGACAAAUCCAAUCAUUAAAGAUUUUAAAACCAAUUUAACUAUCAUUAGUUUAACAAAACAAGACCUUUUCCAUAUAUAGACCAACGUUACCACUUACAAAGAAGCCAAAGAAAGUACAUACAACAUCACACUUAAAAAAAAAAACAUAUAGUAACACACAUAAAACAUUACUUAUAACAAAAAGAUUAAAAAAAAAAAACUGCAUAUCGGCUUUUAUUAUCUCCCCUGAUCAAAUUCUAAACACUUUAUUCCUCAUAAACUAACUCCCCGACAUCGGAGUUAUUGGACUAUGAUGAUGACACCCGGGAAAUUUAAGUAGUGUGCUGGCCAACACGAGUACGGUCACGGUCAUGUUCCCCACCAGUAUGUUGCUGUCCGUAGUACUGAGCUCUGUCUUUUAGAUCCUGAGCCUUGCUUCCCAACUUCAUCCUUGCACUGUCCAACCUAUCUGAUCCCUGUGGGUGCUCUCCGGUUGCGUACCUAUUCACAAUCAAAUAUGCAUCAUACUAAGCAUUUACCUAUAUACAUAACAAGGUAGCUACGUCAACUUUUGUAUUUAAUUAACCAAAUGUCUCUACCCUAGAUUUUGCAAUUUAUUAAUGUGACAUUUUUUUUUUUGAAUCUAUUAAUGUGACAUUUGUUAAUCAACCAAACAAAAUUGAUCCAAAGCUACUGGCUCAACACAUGCAUGCACAUACAUAUUGUAUAACCUAAUGAAAUAAGAUGAUAAAUGUGUGCUUACUUGUAAAUCCAAGAGAAAACGGUUAUAGCUGCAAUGCCAAACCCACCAGAGGAGAGAAAACCGGUGAUGAGCAGUGCAACGGUGAUGAGAGCCGGGACAAGGAUUGGGCUGAAAAUAACGAGCAGAGGUGUUGCAACAGUCAAAGCUAUGACAGUUCCAACAAGGGUAAGGCUGGAGAGGACAAGGAGAGAACCACCAGCUGUGACA